rnacentral:lncRNA from 1 species
CAAAAAGAAGGUUGUGUAGUAGACAUCAAGCUCUUUUCUGGCGCCGUUGCGGGGGAGGUGAGUGCUUGAAGGUAUAUCUUUAGAUCUUGCAAUCGAGUCUUUCAGUUUCUUGUUUUAUCACUAGUUAAUUUAUAAAAUAAAAUUACAAAAACAUGGAAUUAAGUUUGCCUCAUACGCUUCAUCUUUUUAAUAUCUUUUGUGAGUAUGAUGGAAAGGAAAAUUGUGCCAAAGUGUUAGAAGAAGAAUGCAUUAGAAUGUUUGGCACUAAAUAUUUGAAUGAUGAGCAUGAUUGCAAUGUUGUUAGUAUGAAUUCCUUGAAUAUCCAUGAUGCUAAUGAUAUGCAAAGACACAAGCUUGGGGAAGCUAUGUUUGAUGAAGAUGAUAUUUUUAGUCCCCCAAGUUUUGAUGAGCAAAUUUACUAUGAUGAAAACAUGCCUCCUAUCUAUGAUGAUUAUUGUGAUGACACGUAUGCUUUAAAGAAUAAUGAUAACCAUGAAACUUGUCAUCUUGAUCUUAAUUUUCAAUCACAUGAUAGUUGUUUUGUUGAGUUUGCUCCCACUAUUAUUCAUGAGAAGAAAUUUGCUUAUGUGGAGAGUAAUAAAAAUUCUAUGCUUGUAGAUCAUGAAAAUAAUGCUUUAGAUGUUGGUUAUAUUGUUGAAUUCAUUCAUGAUUCUACUGAAAAUUAUUAUGAGGGAGGAACAUAUGCUUGUAGGAAUUGCAAUAAUAUCAAGUUUCCUCUCUAUGUGCUUAAAGUUUUGAAGUUAUGCUUGUUUUGCCUUCCUAUGCUAGUUGAUUAUUGUUCCUAUAAGUCCUUUGCUCACAAAAUCCCUAUGCAUAGGAAGUGGGUUAGACUUAAAUGUGCUAGUCAUAUUCUUCAUUAUGCUCUCUUUAUGUUUCAAUUCUUACCUUUUAUGUGAGCAUCAUUGAAAUCAUCAUGCCUAGCUAGGGGCGUUAAACGAUAGCGCUUGUUGGGAGGCAACCCAAUUUUAUUUUUGUUCCUUGAUUUUUGCUCCUGUUUAGUAAUAAAUAAUUCAUAUAGCCUCUGUUUAUAUGUGGUUUUAUGUCUUUAAUUAGUGUUUGUGCCAAGUAGAACCUUUGGGAAGACUUGGGGAAAGUCUUUGCGAUCAUGCUGUAAAAAACAUAAACUUUAGCGCUCACGAGAAUUGCUGCCAUUGUUUAUUGGAGAGUGAUAUUUAGUUAAUUAUUUUUGUAGAUGAUUAAUAGAGCAAUUCCUCGGGUCCAAAAAUUUAUUUGAUAAUUUUAUGAGUUCCAAAAGUUUGCGUUAGUUACAGAUUACUACAGACUGUUCUGUUUUUGACAGAUUCUGUUUUUCAUGUGUUGUUUACUUAUUUUGAUAAAUCUAUGGCUAGUAAAAGAGUUUAUAAACCAUAGAGAACUUGGAAUACAGUAGGUUUAACACCAAUAUAAAUAAAGAAUGAGUUCAUUACAGUACCUUGAAGUGGUGUUUUGUUUUCUUUCGCUAACGGAGCUUACGAGUUUUCUGUUAAGUUUUGUGUUGUGAAGUUUUCAAGUUUUGGGUAAAGAUUCGAUGGACUAUGGAAUAAGGAUUGGCAAGAGCCUAAGCUUGGGGAUGCCCAAGGCAACCCAAGGUAAUAUUCAAGGACAACCAAAAGCCUAAGCUUGGGGAUGCCCCGGAAGGCAUCCCCUCUUUCGUCUUCGUUCAUCGGUAACUUUACUUGGAGCUAUAUUUUUAUUCACCACGUGAUAUGUGUUUUGCUUGGAGCGUCAUUUUAUUUUCUUUUGUUUUGCUUGCUGUUUGAAUAAAAUACCAAGAUCUGAAAUUAUUAAAUGUUAGAGAGUCUUCAUAUAGUUGCAUAAUCAUUCGACUACUCAUUGAUCUUCACUUAUAUCUUUCGGAGUAGUUUGUCAUUUGCUCUCAUGCUUCACUUAUAUAAUUUUUUGAGAGUCCUAAACAGCAUGGUAAUUUGCUUUGGUUAUGAAUUUAGUCCUAAUAUGAUGGGCAUCCAAGAGGGAUAUAAUAAAAACUUCCAUAUAAAGUGCAUUGAAUACUAUGAGAAGUUUGAUACUUGAUGAUUGUUUUGAGAUAUGAAGAUGGUGAUAUUAGAGACAUGCUAGUUGAGUACUUGUGAAUUUGAGAAAUACUUGUGUUGAAGUUUGUGAUUCCCGUAGCAUGCACGUAUGGUGAACCGUUAUGUGAUGAAGUCAGAGCAUGAUUUAUUUAUUGAUUGUCUUCCUUAUGAGUGGCGGUCGGGGACGAGCGAUGGUGUUUUCCUACCAAUCUAUCCCCCUAGGAGCAUGUGCAUAGUAAUUUGUUUCAAUAACUAAUAGAUUUUUGCAAUAAGUAUGUGAGUUCUUUAUGACUAAUGUUGAGUCCAUGGAUUAUACUCACUCUCACCCUUCCACCAUUGCUAGCCUCUCUAGUACCGCGCAACUCUCGCCGGUACCAUAAACCCACCAUGUACCUUCCUCAAAAGAGCCACCAUACCUAACUAUUACACUACAAGAAAUAUGUCAACUUGUGACCACCACUAUUGGUCACUGAAUGGUCACAAAUUUCCAUUUGUGACCUUUUUGUGACCAAAAACAUAAGAUCAAAAGUUGGCCGUCAUAAACUGACUAUAGCGACCUUUGUUCUGGAAUGGUCGUAGACGUUUAUGACCAAAAUAUGUCUACUGUGGCGUUUUGGUCACUAGCAAUCUCCCCAGGCCACGUAGGCAUCCAGCAUGGCAAGAUGAUGUGGCACAAGAUUCAGCCCGGUCCAAUUCGGUUUUCUACAUGGGCCUAGCCCAACAAUUCGGCCUUUUCAAUAUAUACUUUUCUGUUAAUUUUCGCUAGCUACAUGGGCCUAGCCCAUUUUAUUUUCUAGGACGUGGCCUUCUAUAAUUCAUUUCUUUUUUUGGGCCUCAGCCCUUUUAUAGCCCAAUUUAUUUUGGGCCUCCACAACAUACAUUUAGAAGCUUGACAUCACAAGGGCAGCUAUUCCAGCUUGACAUAUCAGCAUGUACGCAUGUAUCCAAACCAUUUUAUUUCUUUCAACAGCCACAACCACAAAGUAGAUAGUAGAUACAUUCAACAGACUAAAUUAACAUAGGAAUGAAGCAACAAAGGGCAGCCCAAGUAGAGGAACUACAUGGUACUACAACUACAUGGGACUACAGCUACCAUUUCUAUUUCUACCAGCAGUAGUAGGGACUACCAAGGAGCUAAACGAACAGCGACCGAGCUAAACUAACAGCGAUCAUCCAUCAUCAAUCAGUGACAGUAGCAAUGAGUGGCAGCGGCGACGUUCGAGAGAGCCCCUCCCCCUGCUGCUGCUUGGUUGCGUGCUACUGCUUGGUGUGCUGCAUCACUAGUCACCCUGCACAGCAAGAAUUUUAGCUUUACAUAAGGUUUGCAAGAACAGGACCCUGAUACAUGAGAUUGACAUUCACAAGCUAUUUGCAUUUAUAUUUAGAACUGGGUCACACCAUUUGCAUUACUAGUUAUGUAUUGACAUACUAAUCUAAAAGAACAUAUAUAGAAACAUAUGAAUUUUAUUUCUGAAUACCAUUACAGAAGUACUAAAAAACAAGAGCUCAUUACACAAGAAUCCAGGAAGACCCAUCAAUUAUGCGCCGGAGCGGGAGAUGUGCAGGCAGAUCAAAUAGUAGAUUCGAGCAAGAAGGAUGUACUACCUGAAAUGGGAAACUAGGAGGCCAAUCCGACGAGUCCCACCCAAGCUGUGGAAGGAGCAGCGGCAGCAGCUGCAGAAGGACUCGACGGCCCAGACACCGUCAUGGACCUGGUAGGUGACGACGACAUGGUAGUGGUGGAAGCCGCCGCCGAGGCCGACUGCGCCUACGGCAUCCUCGUCGUCCUACAAGGCGAUGAGGACGGUCGGGUCGGCGUUGAGCCGGUGGUCGUGGUUCCUGUAAAAACUACAGGAAACUUAAUUACUUCUCAAUACUGUGGGGUCACACUUUCAGAAAACCUGUCUAUCUAUAUACAAACUUGAAAGAUAAGCCAUGCAAAGGUUCAGUGGAUCCAAAUAAACAUGCACAUCAUAAAACUAGAGGAACAGACAGUCAACACGUAUAUAUCUAGUCAAUAAAAUAUGCAUGCAAAGUUGUACUGAUGUAGACAUGCUUUCACAUCAAAAUUCAGAAACAUCAGAGUCUCGCUGCAUCUCAAAAUCAAGCCGAUCUAACAUGUAGGCACUGAUUAACAGAUCCAAUAAUACUAAUGCAAUUGUAAUCAUACGACAGAACAGAGUAUAGGAGGCUCAAUCGUUCAACAUUUCCAGUGCAAGCAUUGUACAAAGCAAAACAAAUUAAGACCCAAUAAGACACUAUUACAGUACAGUACGACGGCGUCUAUUGCCUCGAUCGUUCAACAUUUCCAGUGCAAGCAUUGUACAAAGCAAAACACCCAAUAAGACACAAAUACAGUACAGUACGACGGCGUCUAUUGCCCAUCUAGAAAACAAGGUGACAUACUGCAGGUUCAAAAAUUUCCUACCAAUAAUGAUAUGUUUGUACAAUGGUUGGUGUAUGCGGAGCUCAUCAUUGUAUGAUGUAUAACAGAUGUUAUAUAACAGAGAAGAAUGGCAAAAAAACAUUUGGUGGCAUUGCGAUGUUGAAAGAAGUAUGCAAAAAAGCUACUCAGUUGCUAGCAAGAUGAAUCAACAAGAACUGUGAAGGUUGGAGUCUAGAAAGGUAUUCCCUGUUGGAAAUCGACUACGACAGCAGUUAAGCUAUGCAUCAUUCUUGGCGAUGGAUCUCAUCCCUGUCAUUUUUAGCAAUCACUGCACGUAAAAGAAGUAAAGCAUGUCAGUUGUAUUGAUUUUCAAACACACAAAAAUGAAGGAGCAAAAGGCAGCCAAAAUAUAACUGCAGGGCCCUCUUAACAAAUAAUGUUUGUGCUCAGUCUGUUAGUACAAACACUACUAUAUCUGCCAAAUGCAUAGGCCAAUUAAUAUGCCUAUUUAUAUAAAUGGAUGGGUUAAGUGUACAAGAGUGGUAGGCCUAAAAUUCCCAAAAUUAGACAGGGAAACGAAAUGCUUGUUGCAUGCCGCACGCUGUCUAGAACAGUAGUGGAAAGAGAUGAGUCUGUAGGCUGCCCGCCUGCCUGCCUGAUAUGAUGGUGAGAGAGAUGGACGGUAGCAGCGAAAGAUAAGCCAUAUAGCUUUGUUUAAUAUUACUAAGAUAUAUAGCCAUUAGUUCGUUUUAACAUGGAACCCAAGAGUAUGUGACUCUAGCACCCUGAGAAAGAUGUUAAUAUGCCAUCAUACUAGCUGAUAGACAAACAUUCCAGGAAGAAUAGAUGCUUGUUUAACGGGUACAAUCGGUACUGCUAUCUCUAACAGACAAAUUUAAAGAUAUUAAAAGAAGCACCUGAUAGAGAAUUUUGCCAACAAUUGCAGUGCUUCAGUUAUGUUUCAGGAAAUAACAAACUACGACUUAGAGCAACAGUUUGAAUAACAGUGGGUUCUGACAUCAAAUUGGAAUUUUUAUGAGCCUCACGAACUCAAAUUACAUUCCAUAUAUACUAAUAUGGUUCACUAUCAUCACGAGAGCCCCUCAAUCAUGCAUCAAUCAUAAUAUCAUCAUCAGCAUAGCUCUUGGAAAUAAGACAAAGAAUAGAGGAAUUACCGAAAUCGGUGAAUCUCUUCCUAGGGACAUGCAUGAACUCUGCAUACUCCCUGUCUUCAUCAAUCCUGUGGAGUUGCAGAACCAGCGUGCGACGGGUGACAAUGCCUGCAGAAUCAAACCAAACAAAACAAAUCAAUGCGUCACAAAAACAAAACAGGACGCCAAAAUGGACAAGCUCUUGCUGCUUGAAUAACCAUACCUGAACCCUGGGUAGGAAAUCCUUUCCAACAACGCUCUCCAGCACUGAAGAUUUGCCCGAACUCUAUAGUGUGCCAAAGGAGUUCAAAUGUCAAAACACAGAACCACAUCUGGUAAUUGUAUACCCACUUGUACUGAGAUGCGCUUGAACCACUCUUAACAGCGCGAGUUCAUGCAGAACUGCUUGCUUGAAACUAGGAGGAUUCUCAUUACGCGAAACAACAUGCCCCCUAGUUGAUCCCAAGUGGUAGUAGUACCUAGCUUCCUAGCACUACACAAUUACUGGUCAUGUAGGCAACUACGUGCAACCAAACUAUAUAGCAAAAGAUUCAAACAAGCAACAGCGGCCCAAAUCUAGCUGACAACCCCUACAACAACCGCAGAUCCAAGCAUAGCUAGACCACAUCACCGCGGCCAAACCGUGGACAAACCGGGCAUCCAAGUUGGGUGGCAAGGUUGCGAGAUCCAGCAGACACAGCUGGGGCGCCAGAUCCGGCGGAGGGGGGAGAAAACGGACGGGGCGCGCACCUGGCCUCCGACGACGGCGAUGGACGGCAGCGAGUGCCAGAGGGUGGGGAGGGCGCUCUCCUCGUCGUGGUCGCCAAGCGCCGUGCAAGCGCGCUGCAGCUUAUUGACGAGCGAGAUCAGGUUCUCCAUGGUCGUCGGCGCGGGAUCUGGCCGGACCCGAUCGGGCGGGCGGGGUCGAGGCGGUGGAGUGGGGAGGGAGGGAGACGAGACGACGCCAACUGCUGAGCCGAGCCGCGUCGGUCGGGCUCGAGCUGUGGAUGGUCGGAGCAGCGAGGGCGACGCGGAUCGACGGGGGAAGGCGCGCGGCGGCCGACGGGGAAGAAGCUCGUAUCCGGCGAUUUGGGGCACCCAGCUUGAACUGGUGGCCAUAGUCGAUGCAGAGGGAAGCUUCGGAGCUCGUGGACACCUUCGCAUGUCGCCAUGUGGUGGGUGAGGAUGUGCGGAUCGAAGGGUGCGACGGGGGGAUCGAUCUGAGUUAGGGUUUGGGCUGCGGGUGGGGGGUAUCUCUUUUUGUUUUCUUUUUUUCUUUUUUCUGUAGAAAGAUGGAUGGAUGGAUGGACGCCAUGUCAUCAAUCUGUGGGAAGUGUUCUGAUUGGUUCGAAAAGUCAAUGGUUUAAAAUAGUUUUCAAGUACUAAAUAUAGAGGGAUUUUGUGAAGUAGCUAUAAAAAUAUUUUUCAAAAGAGCACCAGACAAAUUUUCACUAGAGUUAGACCACAUUUUAUGGAUAAGGACCAAUUUGUAUGCAUUUCCGAUCUUCCUAGCUAUUUUUAAUCAUUUUCCGAGUGGCAAAAAUGGGUUUUUUGUGAAGAACCUACCAAAUAUUUGUUGCAAAAUUGGACUCCAUCAAUUUUCUAAAAUACUAGUCCAUAUUUAAUAUAAAAUUGACCAAAUGGUUGGGUGUCAAAAGUUUUGAUCCACCUCUCGUGAAGAAGACAAAUUUCCACCGGUUCAGUUGGAAGCGGGUCAAAUUUGAACUACAGCUGCCUCAUAGUUUGCUCUUUAUUUUUCUCAAAACAUAUUUUUAGGUACAAAAGUAUCUAUUUAAUCAGAGAAACACCAAAGGUUUUCCAAAACUCAACCACUAGCUAGGAACGGUCAAGCCCGCUGUUUUGACCGCAUUUUGAAACGGGCAUAAAAAAUUCAAAAAAAAUCAAAAAAAAUGGAAAACCCUCGCAUUGUGUCAUUAUAUGUGGUCAAGUUUCCAGAAAAACUAACAAACUUGUAAUACGGCAAUUAUUUUAAAAAAGUAUUCUCAGAAAUGAGCUAUCAUGCGUGAAGAUUCAUGGCUUUCAAGCGAAAUGAUCAAUCUUAUGGUCACAUUCAUGGCAUAGUUUGUUCAAAUGAUCUCAUAUUGUGCACAAGGGUGUAUCUUGGAAUUCCAAACAAUGUUGCCUAAGGGAGUGUUCAUUUUCUUUGCACGGAAAAUUCAUUUUCCAUUUUUCGAGUGCCCAAAAUGAGUUUUUUUGUGAAGGACCUACCAAAUAAUUGUUGCAAAAUUGGACCAGAUCAAUUUUAUAAAAUACUAGGCCAUAUUAAAUUCACAAUUGACCAAAUGGUUGGGUGCCAAAAAUUUUGAUCCACCUCUGGUGAAAAAGACAAAUUCCCGCCGAUUCAGCUGGAAGCGGGUCAAAUUUGAACUGCAGCUGCCUCAUAGUUUGCUAUUUCUUUUUUCCAAAAAUCAUUUCUAGGUACAUAAGUAUCUAUUUAAUCAGAGAAACAUCAAAAGUUUUUCAAGAUUCAACCACUAGCUAGGAACGGUCAAGCCCGCCGUUUUGACCGCAUUUUGAAACGGGCAUAAAAAAUUCAAAAAAAAAUCAAAAAAUUGGAAAACCUUCGCAUUGUGUCAUUAUAUGUCACCAAGUUUCCAGGAAAAAUAAUAAACUUGUAAUACGGUAAUUAUUUUAAAAAAGUGUUCUUAGAAAUGAGCUAUCAUGUGUGAAGAUUCAUGGAUUUCAAGCCAAACGCUCAAUCUUAUGGCCACAUUCAUGGCAUAGUUUGUUCAAAUGAUCUCAUAUUGUGCACAAGGGUGCAUAUUGGAAUUCCAAACAAUGUUGCCUAAGGAAGUUUUCAUUUUCUUUGGACGAAAAAACCAUUUUCCAUUUUCUGAGUGCCUGAAAUGAGUUUUUUUUGUGAAGGACCUACCAUAUAUUUGUUGCAAAAUUGGACCUAAUCAAUUUUAUAAAAUAUUAGGACAUAUUUAAUGCACAAUUGACAAAAUGAUUGGGUGCCAAAAGUUUUGAUCCACCUCUGGUGAAAAGGACAAAUUCCCGUCGAUUCAGCUGGAAGCGGGUCAAAUUUGAACUGCAGCUACCUCAUAGUUUGCUAUUUAUUUUUUCCAAAAAUCAUUUCUAGGUACAUAAGUAUCUAUUUAAUCAGAGAAACAUCAAAAGUUUUCUAAGAUUCAACCACUAGCUAGGAACGGUCAAGCCCGCCAUUUUGACCGCAUUUUGAAACGGGCAUAAAAAAUUCAAAAAAAAAUCAACAAAUUGGAAAACCUUCGCAUUGUGUCAUUAUAUGUGACCAAGUUUCCAGGAAAAAUAAUAAACUUGUAAUACGGUAAUUAUUUUAAAAAAGUGUUCUCAUAAAUGAGCUAUCAAGUGUGAAGAUUCAUGGCUUUCAAGCCAAAUGAUCAAUCUUAUGGCCACAUUCAUGGCAUAGUUUGUUCAAAUGAUCUCAUAUUAUGCACAAGGGUGCAUAUUGGAAUGGCAAACAAUGUUGCCUAAGGAAGUUUUCAUUUUCUUUGGACGAAAAAACCAUUUUCCAUUUUUCUGAGUGCCCAAAAUGAGUUUUUUUAAGGACCUCCCAAAUAAUUGUUGCAAAAUUGGACCAAAUCAAUUUUCUAAACUACUAGGACAUAUUUAAUGCACAAUUGAAAAAAUGGUUGGGUGUAAAAAGUUUUGAUCCACUUCUCGUGAAAAAGACAAAUUUCCGCCGAUUCAGCUCGAAGCGGGUCAAAUUUGAACUGCAACUGCCUCAUAGUUUGCUAUUUAUUUUUUCCAAAAAUCAUUUCUAGUUACAUAAGUACCUAUUUAAUCAUAAAUACAUGGUUUGGUGGCGAUACGUCGAGGUUUGGGCGGUGGCCGAGGCCCCCAACUCUAGAGCGCGUAAACUCGCAUGCCCACCGCGUGGUCACCGCCUGGCCGUGGUGUUGCCAUGUGUUCUGGGCGGCCUAGGCAUGUCUAGUGGGUUGGGCACUCCCCAGGUAGGUGCUAGGAAGAAAAUCACAACAUAAGAUUGUCACGAGGAGACCGAUCGAUGCUCAAACAUGAAUAAGCAGCCAAGUGUUUGAUUAGCGGUACGGGAAAUGCACAUGGCCAAUGGGCGUGAGUUUUGGCCGAGGAUGAUCAUCUACUAAGGAGAAUGUAUUCACAAAUUUUUAGCUCAAAAGGAGGAUCCUAGGUGGUACUUUCUUUGCAAAGUACCACACUAGACAAAAAUAUGAAUGUUGAAGCUGGGCUCAAAAUAAUGAAUGGAUUGAGCUGAAAUUUGGUGGAGGAUGGUUAGUUGGGCAUAUGAAAGUAUUGUAGAAAAUUGAUAUCAUUUUGACAUGCCAAAGUAGUACUUCCUUCACAAUGCUCUUCUAUGGACAAAAACUUGGGAAAACUAGUGAGAGAGAUUGGAUGAAUGAAAUGAGCUAAAAAUUGGUGUAGGUAAGUUACAUAGGUAUGGUCAUGCACUGGUAAAUUUUCAGAUCAUUUGGGUAAGCCUAGCUAGUACUUACUUCACAAAGCUUCUCUCGAGGUAGAAACUUUGGAAAUUUCCUGAGAAAGAUUUACUAGGAAAAUUGAGCUGAAUAUUAUCAUGUGGCAAUGAUUUGGGUAUGGAAGAGUGCCCGAAAAGUUUGAGGGUAAUAGGAGUGGUCUAUAUAACACUUGCUUUGCAAUGUGCCAAUUUGGCCAUAAAAUAUAAAUUGAACCUGGGCUCACAUAGAUGAUUUGACUGAGCUGAAAUUUGGAGGAGGGUGAUAAUUUGGGCAUAUGAAGGAACUAUAUAAAUUUCAUGUCAUUUAGAGAUAUAAAAAAGGUACUUCCUUCACAAUGCUUCUAGGUGGACAAAAACUUUGGAAAUUUGCCGAGGAAGAUUUGCUAGGAAAAUGGAGCUGAAUUUUGUCAUGCGGUAAUGAUUUGGAUAGGAAAGAUUGCCCAAAAAUUCCGAGGGCAAUCAAGAAUACAUAAAUAGCACUUCCUUCAUAAAGUGUUGUUGUGAACAGAAUAGGAAAAUGAAUAUUGUUGAAUUAGUUUUGAACUAGGCAAGGAAGGACUUUUACAUAUUUGAUGAAGAUAUGCCCCAAAGAAUUUAUGAGAUUUUUUUGGGAAUUUUGGGAAUGAUAGAAAUAUAGGUUGCUUCACAACCUAGGGCAAAAACUGUCACAUGGACAUGACACAUAGGCAAAACUGAUGAGAUGGCGCCUAGUCAUCACAACCCACCACAAUCUACAAGGCUAUGACCAUCUAUAUUGGUCAUUAACAACUAGAAAUAAGGCAGCGGACUAGCACUGUUUGCUUUGUGACCAUUUCAUGUAAGGAAAUUACGACUUUUCUGACCAAAAUGGUCGCAAUGGUUUAGGGUUUGGAGCCCCCUGAACAGCUUUUGACCAAUUGGUCUAAAAUGGUCAUAAAUUUAUGACCAAUUCUUCGAGGGUCACUCACAGAAGGUCAUAAGUUGACAUAUUUCUUGUAGUGUUAUGGCAUUUCCAUAGCCAUUCCGAGAUAUAUUGCCAUGCAACUUUCCACCGUUCCGCUUAUUAUGACACGCUCCAUCAUUGCCAUAUUUCUAUGCAUGAUCAUGUAGUUGACCUUGUAUUUGUGGCAAAGCCACCGUUCAUAAUUCUUCCAUACAUGUCACUCAUGAGUCAUUGCACAUCCCGGUACACCUCCGGAGGCAUUCAUAUAGUCAUAUUUUGUUCUAAGUAUCAAGUUGUAAUCCUUGAGUUGUAAGUAAAUAAAAGUGUGAUGAUCAUCAUUAUUAGAGCAUUGUCUUAGUGAGCACAGGAUGAUGGAGACUAUGACUCCCCCACAAGUCGGGAUGAGACUCCGGACGCAAAAAAAAAGAGGCCAUAAAAAAAGAGAAAAGGCCCAAAUAAAAUAAAAUAAAAUAAAAUAAAAAUGAGAGAAAAAGAGAGAAGGCACAGUGCUACUAUCCUUUCCCCACACUUCUGCUUCAAAGUAGCACCAUGAUCUUCGUGAUAAAGAGUCUCCUAUGUUGUUACUUUCAUAUACUAGUGGGAAUUUUUCAUUAUAGAACUUGGCUUGUAUAUUCCAAUGAUGGGCUUCCUCAAAAUGCCCUAGGUCUUCGUGAGCAAGCGAGUUGGAUGCACACCCACUAGUUUCUUAUGUUGAGCUUUCAUACAUUUAUAGCUCUAGUGCAUCCGUUGCAUGGCAAUCCCUACUCACUCACAUUGAUAUCUAUUGAUGGGCAUCUCCAUAGCCCAUUGAUACGCCUAGUUGAUGUGAGACUAUCUUCUCCUUUUUGUCUUCUCCACAACCACCAUUCUAUUCCACCUAUAGUGUUAUGUCCAUGGCUCACGCUCAUGUAUUGCGUGAAGAUUGAAAAAGUUUGAGAACAUCAAAAGUAUGAAACAAUUGCUUGGCUUCUCGUCGAGGUUGUGCAUGAUUUAAAUAUUUUGUGUGGUGAAGAUGGAGCAUAGCCAGACUAUAUGACUUUGUAGGGAUAGCUUUCUUUGGCCAUGUUAUUUUGAGAAGACAUGAUUGCUUUGUUAGUAUGCUUGAAGUAUUAUUAUUUUCAUGUCAAUAUUAAACUUUUGUCCUGAAUCUUAUGGAUCUGAAUAUUCUUGUCACAAUAAAGAGAAUUACAUGGAUAAAUAUGUUAGGUAGCAUUCCACAUCAAAAAUUCUGUUUUUAUCAUUUACCUACUCGAGGACGAGCAGGAAUUAAGCUUGGGGAUGCUGAUACGUCUCCAACGUAUCUAUAAUUUUUGAUUGUUCCAUGCUAUUAUAUUAUCUGUUUUUGACGUUUAUGGGCUUUAUUAUGCACUUUUAUAUUAUUUUUGGGACUAACCUAUUAACCCAGAGCCCAGUGCCAGUUUCUGUUUUUUCCUUGUUUUAGAGUAUCGCAGAAAAGGAAAAUCAAACGGAGUCCAAUUGACCUAAAACUUCACGGAACUUAUUAUUGGACCAGAAGAAGCUCAUGGAGUAUCGGAGUUGGACCAGGAGAGUCCCGGGCUACCCACGAGGGUGGGGGCGCGCCCACCCCCCUGGGAGCGCCCCCUGCCUCGUGGACAUCCCGGAGGUCCACCGACGUACUUCUUCCUCCCAUAUAUACCGAUAUACCCAAAAAAAUCGAAGAGCACAAUAGAUCGGGAGUUCCACCGCCAGAAGCCUCCGUAGCCACCGAAAACAAAUCUAGACCCGUUCCGGCACCCUGCCGGAGGGGGCAAUCCCUCUCCGGUGGCCAUCUUCAUCAUCCCGGUGCUCUCCAUGACGAGGAGGGAGUAGUUCUCCCUCAGGGCUGAGGAUAUGUACCAGUAGCUAUGUGUUUGAUCUCUCUCUCUCUCUCGUGUUCUUGAUUUGGCACGAUCUUGAUGUAUCGCGAGCUUUGCUAUUAUAGUUGGAUCUUAUGUUUCUUCUCCCCCUCUACUCUCUUGUAAUGGAUUGUGUUUCCCCUUUGAAGUUAUCUUAUCGGACUGAGUCUUUAAAGAUUUGAGAACACUUGAUGUAUGUCUUGCCGUGCGUAUCUGUGGUGACAAUGGGAUAUCACGUGAUUCACUUGAUGUAUGUUUUGCUGAUCAACUUGCGGGUUCCGCCCAUGAACCUAUGCAUACGGGUUGGCACACGUUUUCGUCGUGAUUCUCUGGUAGAAACUUUGGGGCACUCUUUGAGGUUCUAUGUGUUGGUUGAAUAGAUGAAUCUGAGAUUGUGUGAUGCAUACUGUAUAAUCAUACCCACGGAUACUUGAGGUGACAUUGGAGUAUCUAGGUGAUAUUAGGGUUUUGGUUGAUUUGUGUCUUAAGGUGUUAUUCUAGUACGAACUCUAGGGCAGUUUGUGAAACUUAUAGGAAUAGUCCAACGGAUUGAUUGGAAAGAAUAACUUUGAGGUGGUUUCGUACCCUACCAUAAUCUCUUCGGUUGUUCUCCGCUUUAGUGACUUUGGAGUGACUCUUUGUUGCAUGUUGAGGGAUAGUUAUAUGAUCAAAUUAUGUUAUUAUUGUUGAGAGAACUUGCACUAGUGAAAGUAUGAACCCUAGGCCUUGUUUCCUAUCAUUGCAAUACCAUUUAUGCACACUUUUACCAUUAGUUACCUUGCUGUUUUUAUAUUUUCAGAUUACAAAAACUAUUAUCUUCUAUCCAUAUUGCACUUGUAUCACCAUCUCUUCGCCGAACUAGUGCACCUAUACAAUUUACCAUUGUAUUGGGUGUGUUGGGGACACAAGAUACUCUUUGUUAUUUGGUUGCAUGGUUGCUUGAGAGAGACAAUCUUCAUCCUACGCCUCCUACGGAUUGAUAAACCUUAGGUCAUCCACUUGAGGGAAAUUUGCUACUGUCCUACAAACCUCUACAUUUGGAGGCCCAACAACGUCUACAAGAAGAAGGUUGCGUAGUAGACAUCAUGUAUCAUGUAUCGUAUGUAUGUAGUAUAUACUCAUGAUCACUUCCCAAAGUGAUCACGACCCGAUAGAAUAGCAUAGCAGACAAACAAGAAUGUAGGGCCACUUAUGUAAUACUAGCAUCCUAUACUAAGCAUUAGGAUAGCAGGUAAGGUAUCAACAGUAGUAGCAAAGACAGGUUAUGCAGAAAUAUAUGGUCAACCCGAUGAAACAGUAACACUACUCUAAUGUAAGCAGCAGAGAGAAGGAUUAGGCGGUAUCGGGAUGAUCAAGGAGGUUUUGCUUUCCUGGAAGCUCUGUCUAGAAGGAGGGAUCGUCGACUCCGUAGUCGUACUGGGUAGUAGCGGCAUCAGUCUCGAUGUCUAAUGGAGAGAAGAGGGGGAAGAAACAACAAGUACAAUGCAAACAGAUGCAUCACAAUUCAUGCAUGGCAACAAGCAUUGGUAGAUGUGGUCUAACAUAGUACUACACGAUACUCGUGAAGGGGGAAAACAUCCGGGAAUGCUUUCCCAAAGUUUGGCGUUUUCCGAUCAGAUGAAUCGGAGGGGACGUUUCCAUGUUCUCUAUGCUAGGGGCACAUGAUAGAUGAAUGGAGUGCGUAUUCAGAUUCGUCACAUUUUUGUGAGCAACUUUCAUGUACAAAAUAUUUUUAUCCGAGUUACAGAUUAUUUUAUAUUAAUUUCCAAAGUUUAAAUGAUUUUCUGGAAUUAUGGGGCUUAUUUUGAUACGGAAAUUAUUAAAUGCAUAAAUACUAGAUACACCCAGAAAUGUACCCAGCCAAUGCCUUUGUGAGGUUGACACAAGGGCCCACUGGCUAACUCAGCAGCUGACUGGGCAGGCCUUAUCCACAGGAAUAGUAGGGGGGCACCAUCUGUCAUUGGCUGCAGUGCUAACCAGGGAUAUUUAUAAAGUGAUUUAAUUAAAAAAAGGUUGGACCCGCCUGUCAGCAGGUCAUUAGGUUCAUUUAAUUAGUGUUUAAUUAAUCCAAAGUUAAUUUAGACACGGGUCCCAUUUGUCAUUUACACAUGGGUGGUGGAUUAGAGCCCAGCUUAGCAGCUAAUAUCAAAGGGUCCACCUGCCGGUGGCCCACGGGCCGGUUCAAACGGCCGGCCACGCCGGCGGGGCAAAACAGGCAGCGCCACGCGGGACCUCGCCACAAUCACCCCUCCGGCCACAAACGGGCACGUGGUUGGGCGUGUCUGGCAGCAUGGGAGGUGCUGCGUCGGACGGUGGUCGUGAUAGUCGCCGGGGAGGCCGGGAACGCUGUCGGCGCUGAUGGCAGGCGGCAGGCGGAGCUCGGCCUUGAGGAAAACGGUGUCAGGGUCAGCCAAAACGAGCAAGGGGAGGGGGAAAGCGGACGGCGGCUCACCGUAGAGCUUACUACAUGACAUAUAAGCAAAAAUUUCUUGAAAUGCGCUAUAUUACUAUCUAAGUUACUUCCACUAUGAUAGCCCGAAUGUGAUAAUGUCUCGUGCAUGAAAAACAGCCAGCUUCUCGCAUUCGGCUCUGUACAACCAAUCAUGUGCUCGGUUACGGUGGGAUCCGAGAGUGCCCAGGUGCACCUGAUAUCGUGCAAUCAAUAAGGGAGUGGCUUCAUGAGUUAGCGCUGCCGUGUGGUACCAAAUUUAGUACCACACAGCUCGUUUCUAAUUCUGUUCCGCAGCUUACAUAAGCUGCUGGGCUAUUUUUUUUUUUGCAAUGAACUUGGGGAGCUUUAUUGCAUAGCUAACAUAUGAUUACAAUCUGCCCGCAGGCCACUUAGAAGAAAGGAUGGACAGCUCUCAAGCCAACAGCCUGAAACCAACAAGGAACAGGCCCGUUUAGCACAAGAGUCGGCCAAAGUAUUAGCCUCCCUUGGAACAUAUCUAACAGAGAAAGAGAUAAAAAUGAAGACUUCUCCCCAAUGUCAUCUAAAAUAGGCACAACAAUUGACCUCGAACUGUCACGCGAUAACCAGAGGUUGACAACCUCUAAACAGUCUACUUCCAUCAGCACAUGUGAGAAACCACGCAGCUGAGCGAUGAUGACUCCCUCCCGUAGAGCUAAGGCCUACGCAACGAGAGGAUCUGUCACCCCCGGGAAGGGUUUGCUCCAUGCUCCGAUGAACGAAAGGUGAGACCGAGCUAUCCCACCCCCUCCCGCACACCGAGCAUCGCUGUUAAUAGCACCAUCCGUGUUGAUCUUGAUCCAUCCCACAUCCGGCGUGCGCCACAGCGCUCCUGACACGCCCCUCGUAGGUUUUGGAACAUCAAUCAUUAAAAUAUCAUCGCGAACUAUCUUUACCGAUCUUGUCAUGCGUCCAUCGAUUCCGAUCAGACCAUAUCGCAUGCAUAACCGUGAUAAUCCUGCAUCUGUCUUGAUCUUCUAUGAUGUCGUCCGUCAAUACAUCCCUCGCCCAAGUGGCAGGGUGUAACCUUGGUAACUUCAAACCCAAGAAAUCUCGGGCUAUUGCCCAAAAUAAUUUGGCAUGUGAACAGUUUAUCAGUGCAUGUCGUAGAUCCUCCACUGAGGCUUUACACAGAUCACACACUGCUGCUGUCCGGAUAUGCCUAUGCUGAAGAGUAGCAUAGUCUGGUAGAAUUCCAUGCAAGACCCGCCACCAGAAAACACGGACUCUGGGAAUAACCUUUAGUUUCCACAAGGCGAUCCACAUGGGUCUAUCUGAAGUUGAACGCUCUUCCUCUAGAGCUGAACGCUCUUUCCGAGUCACUAGAGCACAAUAAGCCGUUUUAACAGAAUAGACACCGGACCUCUCCAAGUCCCAUGCAAGAUAAUCCUCACCACCAUUCGCUCUCAACGGUAUAUUCAAAAUUGUGUCCGCAUGUGGUGCAAGAAAAUUUCUUCGAACCAACUCCACAUCCCACGUUCCGUUCUCAUGAUCAAAUAAUUCAGAGACACGAUUUAUAGGAUCGAUCCCGAUGCGACCCAUUGGCUUGAGAGUGGCCGUGUUCGGUAUCCAGCGAUCUGUCCAGAUGGAGAUGGACUCCCCAUCCCCAACCCUCUUGAUCAAGCCUUGUUCCAACACAGCUCGACCUGAAAUAAUAGCUUUCCACGUAGCAGAUGCCGAGCGAGGCGCUGUAGCGUCCAUAAAACUGCAGUUAUGGAAAUAGUUGCCUUUCAGAACUCGCGAACACAAGGAGUCAGGGUUUGUCAUUAGCCGCCACCCGUGCUUACCAAGUAGGGCUAGAUUAAAAAGCUCAAAGUCACGAAAACCCAUGCCUCCUUCUGCUUUCGGCACAGAAAGAUUCUUCCAAGACAGCCAAUGAAGAGAUCUCCUGUCAAUGUCACUGCUCCACCAAUACUUAGCCAUGGAAGAAGUUAAUUGUGAGCAGACCCCCUUAGUCAGUUGAAAGCAAGUCAUGCUGAACGUAGGGAUAGCUUGGACCACUGAUUUGAGCAAAACUUCCCUCCCAACACAUGCCAAAUUCUUUUCAGACCAGCCUUGCAUCUUACUCCGGCUCCUCUCACCAAUAUGAGAAAAACUUUCACUUGUAAUCCUGCCGACCGCCGUUGGUAAACCCAAGUAGCGUUCGGUAAAAGCUUCAACAAGAAUUCCUAGUGUCUAUUUAAUCUCAGCCCUUAGAGGUGGCAAUGCAUUAGGACUGAAAUAAACUGCACUCUUCUCCCAGUUUACUGCCUGACCAGAGCAGGCCGCAUAAAUCUUGAGGAUAUCAUUCAAUCUAUUUGCACUUUCCACCUUCGCAUUCAUAAAGAUUAAACUAUCGUCCGCAAAAAGCAAAUGAUUAACCCAAGGCGAGUGGACACUCACCCUAAUACCUCGAUCAAUAUAUGCACCGCCAUAAUUAUUCAUUAAGGAUGUGAGGCCCUCCGCACAUAUAAGAAAGAGAAAAGGAGAUGCUAGAUCCCCUUGUCGCAACCCUCGGGAGGGUGUGAAAAACGGCAAAAGUGAUCCGUUUACCUUGACCGUGAACCGGACGGAGGUGACACACUUCAUAAUGAGCCGCACGAACUUGUCACAGAAUCCCAGUUUGACUAACAUCGCCUCCAAAUAAUGCCACUCGACACGGUCAUAAGCUUUCAACAUAUCGAGUUUGAUAGCACAUGAGGCUUGUUUGCAUCGCUUCUUUUUCUUCAUGGCAUGCACACUUUCAUAAGCUACCAAGACGUUGUCAGUAAUUAACCAUCCUGGCACAAAAGCACUUUGUUCCUCCCCAAUGAUCUCAUCCAUAAGCCCGCGUAACCUGUUAGUGAUUGCCUUGGAUGCAAUUUUGUACAGGACUGGGCAGAGAGAAAUUGGUCGGUGUCGGUGUCAAAACCGGCGGAUCUCGGGUACGGGGUCCCGAACUGUGCGUCUAGGCUGGAUGGUAACAGGAGGCAAGGGACACGAAGUUUUACCCAGGUUCGGGCCCUCUCGAUGGAGGUAAACCCUACGUCCUGCUUGAUUAAUAUUGAUGAUAUGGGUAGUACAAGAGUAGAUCUACCACGAGAUCGAGGAGGCUAAACCCUAGAAGGUAGCCUACAGUAUGAUUGUUGAUGUGUAUGUUGUCCUACGGACUAAAACCCUCCGGUUUAUAUGACACCGGAUAGGGUUAGGGUUACAUAGAGUCGGUUACAAUGGUAGGAGAUCUAAAUAUCUGCAUCGCCAAGCUUGCCUUCCACGCCAAGGAAAGUCCCUUCCGAACACGGGACGGAGUCUUCAAUCUUGUAUCUUCAUAGUCCAGGAGUCCAGCUGAAGGUAUAGUUCGGCCAUCCGGACACCCCCUAAUCCAGGACUCCAUCAGUAGCCCCUGAACCAGGCUUCAAUGACGACGAGUCCGGCGUGCAGAUUGUCUUCGGCAUUGCAAGGCAGGUUCCUCCUCCAAGUACUUCAUAGAAGAUUUUGAACACAAAGAUAGUGUCCGGCUCUGCAAAAUAAGUUUCCACAUAUUGCCAUAGAGAGAAUAAUAUUUACACAAAUCUAAUCUGCUGACGUAUUCUGUAGUGUGACAUCACACCACGACCAAGAUUUUAUUCGAACCAUUUUACUGUCCCAUCUCAGCGCGUUAUGCGAGGAGGUUUCCUUGGCACGUCUUGUUAAAGCAGAGAUCGUGUCCCUUUAUUCCGGGAUUCUCAUCAAUACGGGCGUGGGUAACCCAACCGUGCCUUUGAUUACGGCGCUUGGGAGAUAAGCGAGUUUUACCAGGCUGGUGGGGACAUGUAGUUGCGUCCACCCAUAUAAGGGGAUAAGGAUCCACCUUUUCAUCUACGCCUUCUUCCUCCUUUGCUUAUCCAUUCUUGCGCACUCGAGCUCCAGCGCCCAAGUCCGUACUCCUCGCCUCGACCUUCUCCAGCCAUGUCCGGAGCGGGAGGCAAGUGGUUGGUCUCCUCCGUCACGGAGGGACACAUCAAAAAGCUGAGGAAGGCCGGAUAUCUGGCUAGCAACAUCGCGCACCGGCUUCCCGAAACGGGGCAGCUCAUCCCCACUCCCAGGCCCCAUGAGAGGGUGGUAUUCCUCCCUCAUUUCCUCCGCGGACUGGGCUUCCCUCUGCACCCAUUUGUCCGGGGGCUCAUGUUCUACUAAGGCCUGGAUUUCCACGAUCUGGCCCCGAACUUUGUCCUCAACAUCUCGGCGUUUAUCGUCAUGUGCGAGGCUUUCCUCCGCAUCCGUCCCCAUUUCGGCCUAUGGCUCAAGACUUUCAACGUCAAGCCAAAGGUGGUGCGCGGCAGCCAGGCGGAGUGCGGCGGUGCCAUGGUUGGCAAGAUGGCCAACGUCCUCUGGCUCGAGGGCUCCUUUGUAGAGAGCCUGAAGGGGUGGCAAUCGGGGUGGUUUUACAUCACCGAGCCGUGCGACCCUAAGUGGGUCGCAGCCCCCGAGUUCCGGUCCGGACCCCCACGCGGCUCACGUCCUGGAAAGAGACGGGCCUGUCGUGGGGCAGCCAAAAGGAGGUGACCAGACUGCAAACAUGCAUCCAAUCCCUGGUGAACAAGCAGCUCAGGCUUGUCAACGUAGUCCAGGUUAUGUUCAUCCGCUUGAUCCUCCCGUGUCAACAACGGGCUUUCAAGCUGUGGGAGUUCGAUCCGGCGCGGCACCAAACUCUGAGCAUGCUCUUCGACACGACAUACGAAGAUGCCUGGAAGGUGCUUCUCAAAGGCGCCGAGGCUCCCGCAUCCGCUACUGAGGAUCGCGGAUUCAGCGCGCAGCGUCAUGCUAGCGCGGUAAGCUUUUUUGUAUUUUUUUUACAGGGCACUAGUUUUUCAUAGUUUAACUCUGUGCGGGAUCUAAGCUCCCUUACCUUUGACAGGAUUGGCAGGCGAAGUCCGGACGGAUCGACUGUCCGACACCUUUGCCCGAAGACCCAGCCGAUGCCCACCUGGCGAAGCUGCUGGUUCCGGCACCCUAUGUGGUGCCGGAGAAGAAGGCCGCGAAAAAGGCCGCGGGGACUCGAAAGAGUGCCCGGUGCCAGGAGGCGUCGGAUCCAUCAUCCGACGGUUCCGAGGCGCAUUCCUCCCGUGAAGAGGAGGAGGACGAAGAAGAAACCCCUCCUCCUCCAGCGGGGGAAGGGAAGAAAAGGAAGGCCGCCCCAACUGGGGAGGCCGAGGGGUCCAAGAACGCGAGAACCCCUCCUCCGGACUACUCCACCAAUGCCGACGACGGCGAAGAGGAGUGUCCGCCCAGGGCCAAGCCCCUGGCAAAAUCGUAAGUAUCCGGAUACCUGAGUGAUUUCAUAGUAUUUGAUUAUUGCACAGCUUUCCCUUAUGUCGGAUAUAUUUAUGCAGCCCACCCAAAGACCGGCUCGACGCGUCGUCGAGCGGCUCACUGGACUCGUCGGACGUGAACUCGCUUCCGACGGCUUCCUCCCCCCGCCCUACGGACGACACCGAAGUGUUGUCCCAGCAAGUUCCAAUCCGGGAGGAGGUGGUCCUAGAGGCGCCGCAAGGCAACCUCCUGGACUCCAGGAGUAAAGGGGACGAAACCCCCCAGGGCUCAAAGUCCGGCCCUAGGCCGGACACCGCUCCGGAACCUUCAAAGGUUCCAGAGUCCGGUGGGGGACCUCCUUCCAAGAGGAGCAAGCCCGCCGCGCCGGCGACUUCCGUCCAUCCGGAGGCGCCGGACAAUCUGUUGGAGGCGCUCCAAGGCGCCUCCCUCGACGAGGGGCACCGCACUAUUAUGAGUGCGGUGGUCCAGAAGGUUCAGUCCGCCAAGAGCGGACUAACUGAAGCUUGUACAAGCCUUUUAACAGGCUUUGAGGUAAGUAAAGAAUGUGUAAAUAACAUUACCGCAUAGACAGUAGCCCCUGAUGCUCUGUUUGGCGUUCGGGAAGAAAAGCCGAAUAGAGGAUCAAAUAAAAUUCGCAGGAGUCUAACAAAAAGAAGUCAAUAUGCGUGUGCAGGCUUCCCUGCUGGCGUCCGCCGCACUGACUACGGAAGUGGACGUGCUAAAGCAGGACCUCGAGCGGUCCGAGCAAGAGCUCGGACGUUCCAAGAAGCAGCUCGAGGACAGUGAAGGUAAGAAAAUACCUUGUAUAAAUGUGUAUAAAAAGGUGCAAUUGCGAAAAAUGACAGGAGUAUCGUGGCUAUUGUAGGGGCCACGUCUGAGGUGGCGACCCUGAAGUAAGCGCUGCUCGAGGCCGAGAAGAGGUCGGCCAUGGAGCGCACUGAGCAAGAAAAGUAUGAAGCCGAGGUUGGCAAGGUGUGGCGAGAGCUCCAGGCUCUCAUGGAAAAACAUGAGAGUUUGGAGCGUGACUCAAGGACGCGAGCGUCCGAGCUCGCGGCGGCUACUAAAAGUGCCAAGUCUGCCAAGGCCGAAUCCCAGAAGACCCUCCAGGAGUUGGAUGAGGUGAAGAAGAUAGCGGCGGGUAAGGCAUUCUUUAUGCAAAGUAAACACAUAAGCGUGAGUUACUUGUCACUCACCCGAAUCCAGAGUUCUCCAGGCGCGUUCGCAGAUCUUCCCCGGAAUAUAUCUGAUGCCGCCGCAUUCUAUCGAGCCGAGGAGGGCAUCUCGACGAAGAAGGUGUUCUGGUCUCAGUACGUUGAGGCCGGACACCCCGUGCCCCUGAGCGACCAGUUGAAGCAACUGGUCAAGCUCCACAAGGCGGCCGAACAGGCCAUGAAGGGCCUCAUAGUUCGGCUGUGGCCUGGAGAGGCUCAGCCUGGGAGCUAUUUCGGGCUGGUGUGGCGGCUGGUGGAGGCCUGUCCAUGGCUCGAAGUUAUCAAGCGCUCUGUGUGCAUUGAAGGUGCCCGUAAGGCCCUUGCCCGUGCGAAGGUGCACUGGGGCAAGCUGGAUGCUGAGAAGCUUGUGAAGGACGCGCCACCACCGGGGAAAGAGCAUCGCAAGCCCGAAAAUUAUUAUAAGGAUGUUCUGAAGGGUGCCCGCCUUGUGGCGGAUGAAUGUUCUAUGGAUGUAAUUUUUGAAUAAAACUCGCUCGUUUUGUCCUGUGCGCUGAAAACUUGUUCAUAUACGCUUUAAGCAAUGCUAUUUGAAUUUAAAAUAUUACCUUCUGUGCGGCUGUUUAUCAAUUCUGAGAGAUGGCAAGUCGUCGGCUUCUGCCCCCGGGCCGCUAGUGCUGGGGUGUUCGGGGAUAAACCUGAGGGCUCUUUUUCCCAUGUUUGGGUCCUUCGAGGGAGGCGCUCAGCCCAACGAACAAGGCAAUCGGACUAUAAUGCGUGAACACUCUCACUUAGCCAUAGAAUUCUAUAAUUUUAAAUUUCGGCGAAGCCCCUGGUAUUCGGAAGACCGAGUUCGGGGCGCUAUCCACGCCUUGGCCGGACAGAACCGGCUCCUCGCCCUAAGCGGCAUAAGUCUUUAAGGACUCGAAAAGACCUCUCGAACAGCGACCAGCUCUCGCCUCAUCAUGACGGUCAGUUUUAGCUUUCUCCACUGAGGUGCUCAACCCAGCUCAACCGGGGCACAAUCGCAGUGGUUCUCCUAGUGCUACCUUAGCCGAUAUAGCGGAACGUAAGGCACCAAAACAUAGGAGUCGGGCAAACCCAACUAUUGACCCAAGACAUGAUUCGGAGCCGAUGCAUAUAAUGCUAUAAGUUUGGGGUGCGGUACUUGUUAAAGUGUUCGGACUUCUCACACCAUGUUGAGGGGUACUGAAGCCCCUGGCGUAUUUUGGCCGUACCAAAGUGUACGGGUGCAACAUGUCAUUAAGGAACAUAUAUAAAUAUAAAGAAAAAGAGUAAUGCAAAAAUAGACAAAAGCUAUGCAUUGUUUAUUAAAAAGAGCUGCGAUCAAAGCAGAACGAUACAAAUAAUGCGAUAAGCAAAAGGUUGGAUUAUGUAACAUGUCCGCUCCAGGGGCAAGCUGCGGAAUAAUAUGCGAAACAGGUAUAUUGCUCGUGAUAGAGGCCACCUGGGAGUUCCAUAAUGCGGCGCGGCUCAUCUGCUUCCCUGGUUCUUGCAUCGUUUGUGCGGCAAUUGAACUGCCGAACAGGCCUUCCGAAGAGUGGAGUCCUGAAAGUAAGAGAAAAUUAAAAAAUCGGCAGCCCCUGGUACGGUUGGAGCCGUGUUUUGGGCGUGCCGUGAUGGUGCCCCUCCCCCUGUGCCCAUGGUAUCUCUAGGGCGUAGUUAUGUACGCGAAGUACUGACGUCGCCUUUUGGCGAGGGUUGGGGUUGGGGACGCAUUGCUACGCCUGCUCGAAUCGUGCCAAGCGGUCUUGUUGUAGGUUACUCUGGGCGCGCUUGACGGUGUCCGGUCGUUUAGUGGCCGGACUGGAGAAAUGUCUGGAGAGGCUGCUUUGUACUUCCGCUGCAAGAGCCGCCGUGUGCUCCUCCAUUCGGAGGGAGCGUUCGGUGUUUCCAUUGACCGUAAUUACUCCUCGAGGGCCUGGCAUCUUGAGCUUAAGGUAUGCGUAAUGCGGUACCGCAUUGAACUUAGCGAAUGCGGUUCGCUCGAGCAGUGCGUGAUAACCACUGCGAAACGGGACUAUGUCGAAGAUUAACUCCUCGCUUCGGAAAUUAUCCGGAGAUCCGAAGACCACUUCAAGUGCGACUGAGCCUAUACAGUUAGCCUCUACACCUGGUAUUACGCCUUUAAAGGUCGUUUUGGUGGGCUUAGUCCUCGAGGGAUCUAUGCCCAUUUUCCGCACUGUAUCCUGGUAAAGCAGGUUCAGGCUGCUGCCGCCGUCCAUAAGGACUCUAGUGAGAUGAAAUCCGUCAAUAAUUGGGUCUAGAACCAAUGCAGCGAAGCCGCCGUGACGGGUGCUAGUGGGGUGGUCCCUUCGAUCAAAGGUGAUCGGGCAGGAGGACCAUGGGUUGAACUUUGGGGCGACUGGCUCUAUCGCGUAUACGUCCCUUAACGCGCGUUUCCGCUCCCUCUUGGGGAUGUGGGUUGCGUAUAUCAUGUUCACCGUCCGCACUUGUGGGGGAAAACCCUUCUGUCCCUUGUUGUUCGGCGGCCGGGGCUCCUCGUCGUCAUCGCUAUGCAGCCCCUUGUCUUUGUUUUCGGUGUUUAGCUUGCCUGCCUCCUUGAACACCCAACAAUCCUUGUUGGUGUGAUUGGCCGGCUUUUCAGGGGUGCCAUGUAUCUGGCAUAAGCGGUCGAGUAUUCGGUCCAAACUAGACGGGUCCCUAGGAUUCCUUUUGAAUGGCUUUUUCCGCUAACCGGAUUUAGAGCCUCUGAAUCCGGCAUUAACUGCUGUAUCAUCUGCAUUGUCGCCGUUAAUGCGGCGCUUCUGUUUGUUGCGACGCGACCUGCCACUACUGUCCCUGGUGUCCGAAUUACCAGGGUUCUUGGUGAUAUUGUUUCUACGAGCAAGCCAGCUAUCUUCUCCCAUGCAAAAGCGGGUCAUGAGUGUCGUGAGUGCUGCCAUAGAUUUCGGCUUUUCCUGUCCAAGGUGCCGGGCCAGCCACUCGUCACGGAUAUUGUGUUUGAAGGCUGCUAGGGCCUCGAUGUCCGGACAGUCGACUAUUUGAUUUUUCUUUGUUAGGAACCGUGUCCAGAAUUUCCUGGCCGAUUCAUCUGGCUGCUGAAUUACGUGACUUAGGUCAUCGGCGUCUGGGGGUCACACAUAAGUGUCCUGGAAAUUGUCGAGGAAUGCGGCUUCCAGGUCCUCCCAACAACUGAUUGAUCCUGUUGGCAAGCUGUUAAGCCAAUGCCAAGCUAGUCCUUUAAGCUUGAGUGGGAGGUAUUUGAUGGCGUGGAAAUCAUCACCGUGGGCCAUGUGGAUAUGAAGGAGAUAAUCCUCAAUCCAUACCGCAGGAUCUGUUGUGCCAUCAUAUGAUUCAAUGUUUAUGGGUUUGAAACCCUCGGUGAUUUGAUGAUCCAUUAUUUCGUCUGUGAAGCAGGGUGGGUGUGCGGCGCCUCUGUACUGGGCUAUAUCAUGACGUAGCUCCAAUGAGCUUUGUCUACUGUGUUCGGCCCUGCCGAAUUUGUGGCCGGCGUGACGAAUGUUUUCUCGAGCCGUGGGGCGCCCACGCAAUCCGUAGAUCGAUCUUGUUUGUCUAGCCUUGUCCUCCAACAUGUCUCGUAGGUCCGGUGCAUAGUCCCGUGCCUUGGUACGGGGUGCGGCUUGAGUGGAGGGCCGAGAGGCCUCUCUGUCGCGGCCACGAGGUGGCCGGUCGGCCGCAUCAAGUGCUUCCUCCUCUAAUUGGGGUGGGAACCAGCGCUUUGGGUAGCUCUUGGAGGGGCGUUCGAGUUUAUGCUCUUCAGCCGCAAGGACUUCACUCCAUCUGUCGACUAGCAAAUCUUGAUCAGCUCUAAGUUGUUGCUGUUUUUUCUUGAGGCUUCUUGCCGUGGCCAUAAGCCUGCGUUGAAAACGCUCUUUCUCGACGGGAUCCUCUGGCACGACGAAUUCGUCGUCGUCGAGGCUUGCCUCGUCUUCGGAGGGAGGCAUAUAAUUAUCGUCCUCGACCUCUCUGUCUGCCGCUCUCUCAUGAGGGCUGGUUUCUCCAUCCUCCUGUGCUAAAUCUUGCUGGAGGGGGUUUUCUUCGGCGCUUUCCGGAGUAUUAUUAUCUCCCGUGCUGGAAUCACCGUGUUUGUUUAGGCGGGAUUUUGAGCAGCGUCGCUGACGUCGGCGCUUAGGCUGUUUUUUGGAGGGGUCAUCCUCCGCUGUUCCAUCGCCGUCUCCCUCCUUUGGGGUAUCCACCAUGUAUAUGUCAUACGACGAGGUGGCUUUCCAGGGCCUAGUAGGCACUGGUUCUUCAUCAUCUCCUUCAUCGGCGUCCAUACCCUUGAUGUCUUCGGAGUCGAAGUCGAGCAUGUCGGUUAAGUCGUCGACAGUGGCUACAAAGUGGGUGGUGGGUGGGCUUUGAAUUUCUUCAUCGUCCGAAUCCCAACCUUGCUAGCCGUAGUCCGGCCAGGGCUCUCCUGAUAAAGAAAGAGACUUCAAUGACUUCAGAAUAUCGCCAAAAGGCGAGUGCUGAAAGAUGUCCGCGGCAGUAAACUCCAUGAUCGGCGCCCAACCGGAUUUGAUUGGCCGGGGCGCAGAGGGUUCGGAGUCCGGAAAGGAGUCCGACUCCUUGGAGUCACGAGUCUCGCGGAGUGCGGGGCUGGUGUUCGGCUCAAUCGUUGUUGGGAUCGCAGCCCCCGAGGUGGCGUCCAACCGCCCAUCCUCGGUCAGCGCAGUUGGCUCCGAAUUAAGGAUCGGAGCCGAUGCGGGUGCGGCCUCCAGGGCACUGUUUGGCGGCAGAGCUAGAUCAUGCUCGUCGGGACAGUGUGGCGCGCUCGGUAGUGGCUGGAAUCCGUCGAGGAUCAAGUCCCCGCGGAUGUCAGCCGUGUAGUUUAAACUUCCGAAUCUGAGCUGACGGACAGGGACGUAGCUUCCGAUCUGCUCCAAGUGGCCAAGUGAAUUGGCCCGCAGUGCGAAACCGCCAAAGACGAAGAUCUGUCCGGGGAGGAAGGUCUUACCCUGGACUGCAUCGCUAUGAUGAUCGUAGGAACCAUCGAGCCUGACGGCGACGACACAGAGGAACUCUCAAUGAAAGCACCAAUGUCGGUGUCAAAUCGGCGGAUCUCGGGUAGGGGGGUCCCGAACUGUGCGUCUAGGCUGGAUGGUAACAGGAGGCAAGGGACACGAAGUUUUACCCAAGUUCGGGCCCUCUCGAUGGAGGUAAACCCUACGUCCUGCUUGAUUAAUAUUGAUGAUAUGGGUAGUACAAGAGUAGAUCUACCACGAGAUCGAGGAGGCUAAACCCUAGAAGCUAGCCUACGGUAUGAUUGUUGAUGUGUAUGUUGUCCUACGGACUAAAACCCUCCGGUUUAUAUAGACACCGGAUAGGGUUAGGGUUACAUAGAGUCGGUUACAAUGGUAGGAGAUCUAAAUAUCCGCAUCGCCAAGCUUGCCUUCCAGGCCAAGGAAAGUCCCUUCCGGACACGGGACGGAGUCUUCAAUCUUGUAUCUUCAUAGUCCAGGAGUCCGGCUGAAGGUAUAGUUCGGCCAUCUGGACACCCCCUAAUCCAGGACUCCCUCAGUCGGUACUGAGUUAUUUUCUGGGGUCCCGUACCUUGGGAAUAAGAGUGAUGGCCAUAUCAUUGAGUCCCAACGGCAGCUCCCCCCCCCCGUUCAGAAAAUCGAGCACGGCUGUCGUUACAUCACUACCUAGAACCUCCCAAUGUCGUUGGAAGAAACCAGCGGUAAAACCAUCCACUCCUGGUGCUUUUGACGGCGCCAUCUGGAAAAGAGCUUUGUGUACCUCCUCCGCCGUGAAUUCCUUCUCAAGUAAAUCAUUCAUAGCGUCAUUAACACGUGGCGGAACAAAUUGCAACAAAUCUGACAUGUCAUUGUAUCCCUGCGACUGAUAAAGGUUCUGAUAGAAAUCCAUCACCUCAGCCUCCACCUCAUUAGGAUCAUCACAGACCGAGCCAUCUGCUCUCUGUUGGGAGACAAUUCUAUUGCUUCGACUACGCUGCGCUGCCUGAGAUUGAUAAUAUUUUGUGUUCCGGUGUCCUUUGCGCAGCCAGUUAACUCUGGACCUUUGUUUCAUCCAAACCUCCUCUUGCCGUAAAACCUCUUGCAGUUGGGCGGCCACCCUUAGCUCUUCAGUGUUUGGCCCCCUCCCAAUGGAGGCUGCUCGUAGCCAUUCCAACUGCUUCUGGAGUUUCUUCACCUUUUUUUCAUUGUUUCCAAACUCACGGGCACCCCAGGACCCGAGUCCACUCUGGACAGCGGUAAGUGCAUGCACCACACCCUCCAAACCUUCACGGCCAGACUCUGAUUGCCAUAUUUCUCGCACAAGAGAAUUGUAAUCACUAUGAGUCUGCCAAACAUUUUCGUAACAAAACGGUCGCGGACCAUGCCGCCCCCCUCUCGCUUGUACUUUCCUCAACUCAGCAAGAACGUAACAAUGGUCACAUGCUGUUGAACUAAUGUGCUUGACACAUGAAAACGCAUACAAGGAUAAAAAACUUGCAUUAGCAAGAGCAUGAUCAAGUCUAGCUUUUACAUUUGCACUUCCAUGCUGCUUAUUAUCCCAUGUAAAGGGAACACCUCUCCAUCCAAGAUCUUGGAAAGAGCAAAAAUCAAUUACUUCACGAAAAGAACGCAUUUGCCACUCCGGCCUCACAUGCUCGCUGAAAUGCUCGGUUGCAUACAUAGUCUCGUUGAAGUCGCCCAUGCAUAGCCAUCCUUGAUGCGGAAUGCCAUGCAACGUACGCAUAAACUCCCAGCUAUGGUGUCUAUUUUCAGCUCGGGGUUCACCGUAAAAACCUGUGAAGUGCCAAGGUUCAGUAUGAUCAUAUCCCUUGACCAACACAUCUAUGUGAGCCUUACUGUAGUUUUUGAGUUCAACAUGCACACUAUCAUUCCAGUACAGCCCAAUGCCUCCACUUAGACCAUUGCUAUCCACAGCAAAACAACCAGAAAAACCAAGCAAGUUCUUAAGACUCUCAACACGUUUCCCUUGAAUUUUUGUUUCCAUUAUGAACAGAAGGGAGGGGGCUUCCUGCUUCACCACUUUGCGAAGCUCCCGAACUGUCUCCGGGUUCCCAAGCCCGCGACAGCUCCAACUCAAACAAUUCAUUGGGACGGGCAGGGCUGCAUUGCAGCCUCUGCCGAAUUCUCUGGUGUUGGUUUUUUCUUCUUCGGUAUCCGAUCGAAUUCCUCCUCAGUCCCAUCCUCUUCCCCACCCCUCUGUUCCUCAUGGCGCCCCGGCUCCGGGUUCUGUAACCCCUCACCCGAGGCAGUCAACAGAAGGGGAGGUGUGCUGUCGACACGGCGAUAAACCUGUUUUGGUGCCUCCUUUCUCUUGUUCACAUUGGUGUUCUUCUUCCUAAGAGAGUUCACCUCCUUACCACCUGCUGGAACGUUGCUGGAGUUCUUUGACUCCCUAUGACUGCCCGGUUCAGCAUGAUAUUCCUUUCCGGCCGAGUCACCGGAUGCAGUCUUCUUUCGCUCCUCAGCCCUCAAACUCGGACCAAACGGGAGCUCGCCAUUGGCAUCCCGUUGACCAGGAGUAGGACAGAACGGGUCAGCAUGACCCAAUCGGCCGCAAGAGAAGCAGAACUGAGGAACAUUCUCAUACUGGAUAUCAUAUGCAUCUUGCUGCUUCCUUUUCGCCGAAUCAAUCACAAUCCACCUUCUAAGAGGCUUGUUUACAUCAAUGGCAACCCUAGCGUGCAGAAAACCACCCAUGUGAUCGAACUGCGCCGAGGACGCCUGUGGAUCAAUCUGUUUAGCUAUCAUCCUUCCCCAUGAGUCAUCCCGGAGGUUGUAGGGCAAGUUCAAAACCCUUGUCCAUAGAUGGAGCCAGUCAAAACGAACCUCGUCCGGCCUCAUGCAAUCCUUAAACUCGGACAAAAUCACUGCAUUCUUACUUAUAUGCCAUGGGGAUCCUGCCCACACACGAUCACGAUCUCUCUGGGAUUCAAAAUCAGCCACAAACAUGUUCUCCCCCAUAGAUCUGAACUGAAGCCCCCAUGGAUUCCCCCACGCCAGACGGGGUGCAUUAGCAAUGGUGUUGAUAUGCAGCAGAUUUCAGUGAAGAACCUUCCCUGCUAAUAGCCACUUCUUCGGCGCAUCCUCCUCGCGAUCAUCGAUGACCAACGGAGUAGCUUCUUCCUCGGUAAUACCCAGCUUUCCUAGGGCCUCUUCCAGCCGAGCCCUAGCCGUGCGCGGCGAUUCUGACCCGCCCGCACCCUUGCCCCGAUCAGAUGAGGCCAUCUUCCAGGGAUCCCGCUGCGCACCGCCGAUCAGCCGUCGACGAGCGCCUCUUUUUUUCCCCGAACCCUAGUCGCCGCCGCUAGGGAAGUUUUUUAGGGUUUCGUGGAAAGUUACGAGCUAAGCUGCUAGGCUAGUUAGCGCCGGUUGAUCGAGUCUGCCGUAUAUAUACUAUAGACGUAUACUGUCAGUCUUUAUUAUUAUUAUUAUUAUUAUUAUUAUUAUUAUUAUUAUUAUUAUUAUUAUUAUUAUUAUUGUUAUUAUUAUUAUUACUCCCUCCGUCCAGGUAAUUGCACUAGGCAUGCAUGCAAGCGUGAGCUGGGAUUGGGGAGUGAUUGGUGCAUGCAGGUAUGGGAAAGAGAACAGCGUGAGAAGCCGAGCUGCUCGCCGUGUUUCGAGGGACGGCAUGCAGUUACUGCAAAAUAAAUCAAAUGUCUCUUGGUUUCGCUGUUUUGGCUUAGAGGCCCAAUAAAGAGGUAAUAUCAGUGCAAGUUAUAGAACUUGUGCUGGAUGUGCAGUUUGGUUCUAAAACUUGCAAACUACGGAAUUUUGGUCACUUAGCUUGUCUCAAUGUGCAAAUAUGGUGCUUUCUACCAUUUCAGGAUGUACGGCCUGCACACGUGGCGUGCCAGCACGGCGUAGGCCCGCCUGUCAAUGACCGAAAGCAUUUUUUUUUUCAGAUAACUCCCUUUCAUUUUAUUUAUUUACACACAAAAUUCCUCAAAUAAAAUUUAAAACUGCAACAAUAGGGAUUUGAUCCCACAAUCUGCAGCCCAGUUACUCACAUACAUUACCACCAGACAAAGCAGGCUAGACGCUUAGUAUUUACAAAAACAACUAUAUAUCCUAUAAAUACGGACUGUACAAAUUAUACUAAAUUUUAAAUCUAGACGUAAGACACGAGCACCAUGGUUCGAACUUGUUACCUUCUGAAUGAAGGUCGCGUGUGAGUGGGAUAACCUAUCACACUUCAUGUUGUAAAUGGACAAACAACAUUUAUGCUGUCAGACCUCGCAAAUUUUAUUUUUAUGUUGUCAGUUCUUAUGUCAUGUCUAUCCAAAACUAAAUUAUGUUUUUUUCUAAAUUUUCUGUGGAAUAGUGAAACUUUUCAUCGUGAUGUAGCUUAAGAUUACUUACUAUAUUUAGGUUGAGCUGGCAGUAUCCCUACUAUAUUUAGGUUGAGCUGGCAGUAUCCCUAGUAGAUAAUAAAAGGGUGGCUAAGACUACAAAUUUGCACACAGUACCUAACUUUUAAAUAUAGCUUUCCCACAAAAGAAAAUUUAUAUAUAGCUGGCUGGACUUGGGGCUCAUAAACUUGAAACUAUACAACACAAAACACUUUUAUCUAUAUUUAUCUCUAAGAAACAAAAAUCUAGUCUGUCUUCAGCUAAUUGUGAACAAUGUAAAAUGCAAAGGCAACAUAAAGAACAAACAAAAUACAUGAGAAUAUAAAUUGUUAAUUUUUUUCAAAAAAUAUAUGUUGUUUUCUUACAUAAGUAAAAGAAAAAAAUUAGACAACAAAGAUUUGGGUCCCUUUAUAGUAACAAGUGUCAUCAUGGUCGGAUGGUUAGCCCAUGCACAUGCAGCCAGCCACCAGCAGGACACAAAGGUUUGAACCAUGGGGCUCACAAUCUUCCAUUCAGAUUUAGAUAUUAUUUUGUAUGGUCUUCAAAGGACAUAUCAUGUAUAGUUGUGAAAGUUUAACAAGAGUCAUGAUUAGUCUGGUGGCUAUCCAUGCUAGUCGUUUAGUAGGCGAUCAUUCGUUUGAUCCACACUGCGGUGUCUUUUUUUCAUUUUAUUUGACUGAUUUUGUACGUGAGUAAAUAAAAUGCAAGGGAGUUAUCUGAAAAAAAAAAUGCUUCCAGCCGCCACUGACAGGUGGGCCUACGCCAUGCUGGUAGGCCACAUGUGCAGGCCAUACGUCCAGAUACGAGAGGAAGCACCGUAUUUGAAUGUGCGAACAAGUUAUAUGAUCGCAAUUCCGUAUUUUGCAAGUUUUAGAACCAAACUACACAUCAAACGCAAGUUGUAUGACUCCCGGUGAUAUUGACUCCCCAAUAAACCCAGACGGAGGUAGUACUAGCAAAAAAAGGCCGUGCAUUACAACGGAAAAUAAAUACCAUACGUCCCUAACAGAAUAAUCAUGAAUGAAGACCUCAGUGGGUUCACGUGCAUCCCAUCUAUGUUGCCGCUUACCCUCCUUCCGACCCUUAUGGAUGGCUGCCUUAGUGCUCACAAACACAACUCGCAUGAAUGCAGCCAAUUCUAAUGUGUCUCUCUUUCUAUCCGCAUAAGAUAAGAAAUCUACUUUUUCAUCUGGAGGUUUUACCGAGUCGUGCAUGUGUGGUUAUAGAUGGUUUCUCUCUUCCCCAAACUAAAUUUGCUGAGGUGUUGAUUUCUAACCUGAUCUACACUGGUACGAAAGAAAUAUGGAUCGUUUUCUAUUGAUUAAUAUUGUCCCUUAAAUAGAAUUUAAAAAAUGUUUAACAUGUAAAAGAACACCAUAUUCAGAUUCUACAUAUUUUUGUAAUCAAUUUCCAUAUAUAUAACGUCAAAAUUGGAGUUAGGGUUUAGAAGAUAUGAAUAUUCAAAAAACCAUUUGAAUCAUAUUUUUUAAAUAUUUAACAGGUAAAAUAACAUCAUAUUAAGAUUCUAGACAUUUUUCAAAGAAAUUCUCAUAUAUGACAUGUCAAAAUUGGAGUUAGGGUUUAAAAGAUAUCAAUAUUUAAAAAAAAAUUGAACCUGUCAAAAAAAGAUGGAUGGCAGGUUGAUUAACUAAAAGAUCAAGGGGUUCAUUAACUAAAAGAGCAGCGAGUUUUGUGAAAAACGAAAACGAAUCGUUUUUUUUCACUUAAAAUAGGACUACGGGUUGAAUUCUCAUAAACACGGUAACUUUUCUGCAAAAAUGACAAUGACGUACGAACAGAAGAGAUAGCCGCUUUUUUACUUAGGUAAAGAUAAAGAUUAUUAUUAUUAUUAUUAUUAUUAUUAUUAUUAUUAUUAUUAUUAUUAUUAUUAUUAUUAUUAUCAUCAUCAUCAUCAUCUUAAUCUCCGAAGGUCAUGACCACAUUUUACUGCAUCACCAAAAUACAUUAUCAUUCUCUUUUUCGUGAAAUCACGAACAAUUUUUGAAAAUCAUGAAAAAAUGUAAAUUGUGAACAUAUCUGAAAUCAUGAACAUUUAUAAAAUUUUGAACAUUUUUACAGCUUUGGGACAAUUUCUAAAAUCAUGAACAUUUUUUCAAUGCAUGAAAAUUUAAUACUAUUUGCAAAAAAUUGAACAUUUUUACAAAGAUUUUUUUUGAAUAGGCGAACAUUUCUAGAAUCGACGAACAUUGUUUUGAAAAUUGGUGAAACAAUUUCUAAAAUUAAUAUACCUUUUUUAUUUAACGAACCUUUUCUAAAAUGUGUGAUCAUUUUUUCAAUCAGCAAAACAUUUUAUGAAUCAAUAAACUAUUUUAUAAGCAUGAACAGUUUUUGAAUUUUUAGGAUGUUUUUUCAAUUCGUGAACAUUUUUUGAAUUGGUGAAAUUUUGUUAAGUUUUAUUAAAAAAUUUAAUACAUGAAUUUGUUUUUAAAAUUAUGAUAUUUUUAUUCAGAAAAUAUUUGUUUUCAAAAUCCAAACAUUUUUUGAAUUCACAAAUAUUUAUGAAUAAAUCAAAAUAUUACAAAAUUCGCAUUUUAGAAAAAUUCGGAACUUUUUGAAGUCCCAUGUAUUUAAAGUAGAGAAAAAGGAAGACAGAAAAGAAAAAAACGAAAAAUAAAAACAAAAUUUAAAAAACUAACUGCCCGGACAUGGGCCAGCCCAAACAGACACGUUGUAGUCUUCUCCCAGCGCGCAUAGAAGGUUCGUACUACAUGGGCCCGCCCAGGGGGGGGGGUUCUGUGUGAAUUUUUUUUUCAUUUAUAGAUGGCCUCGGUGGAUAGUAUUUUGUAAUUUUAGGGGCAAUUUCGGUGACAUGCCCCCACAAGCAACAGCCCCUUUAUUAUGAGGUAUAGAUUUUCUUUUCAUUCAUAUUGUGAUCUGAUUUUUGACAAAGACCUCCAUAAUAUUUAAAUUCAAUUUCAUCAUAAUUAUGAUUUGAAUUUUAGAAAAAUUGUAUAUUAUUUGAAUUUUAGAAAAUGAGUCCUAUGUCACGCCUUUCCUCUCUCGCUUCUCCCAGCGGUGUUCCGGCGGAGCGAUACAACAAGUAUGUAUGAGCACCCGGCGGUUGCUAUCCUGGUGCGCUGGUCCUAUGGGAUCUUAGCACGAUGACUUUCCGACUGUCUACUACAACAAGAUUUGUCCGGCUUCGAUGACGGCGGCGCGGCUUCGACUCGCUCCAAUGCUUGUAGCCUUCGCUAGGUUGUCUACGGAUCUGGAUGUAACUUUUUACUUUCGAUGUUCUUCGCAUUACCUUGACAAUUGAUGAAUAAAUUGAAUAUUUUCCUUGCAAAAUAAUAAUAAAAUGACAGGUAAAUCAGUAAAUCACAGUGAUUGCGUACAAAAUCAAUAAAUCUUUAACACACCGAUGUACAAGUGAUGGGCACGCGGUCGCGGGCUAACGUACUAGAAUAUUUAUGCAUUCUGCAACGCACCGGCACUUUUCUAUUUUUUUAGUUUAAAAAGUAUUUAAAUGUUCUGGAAAAAAAUCACGUGUAUAUGCAUUGGUAAGAAACUUACACGUGUAAAUAUUAAUGAAAUACUAUAACAGUUUGAGAUCCUGAUGAAAAUGAGGAAAUGAUGAUGACAAAAUUUUGGUUUUUUCUUUCCAUGAAGGUCGGUAAAAUGGACACAUGACUUUUCGAGAAUUUGCGUUUCUGAUUACACCAAGUUGUCUAGCACACGGGAAUGAAGGAGAAGCUACCCCACGACAACAGUCGGGAUUCUUCGUCNNNNNNNNNNNNNNNNNNNNNNNNNNNNNNNNNNNNNNNNNNNNNNNNNNNNNNNNNNNNNNNNNNNNNNNNNNNNNNNNNNNNNNNNNNNNNNNNNNNNNNNNNNNNNNNNNNNNNNNNNNNNNNNNNNNNNNNNNNNNNNNNNNNNNNNNNNNNNNNNNNNNNNNNNNNNNNNNNNNNNNNNNNNNNNNNNNNNNNNNNNNNNNNNNNNNNNNNNNNNNNNNNNNNNNNNNNNNNNNNNNNNNNNNNNNNNNNNNNNNNGACUCUCCCUCACUGAUUUCUCUCUGACAUUGCGACCGUCGGUGAUGGUAGCUCCUCCUUUCAUUCCUGAGUGCAUUACAUCAAAUGUCUAGCACACGGGAAUGAAGGAGAAGCUACCCCAUGACAAUAGUUGGGAUUCUUCGUCCUCUCAUAUAUGGUGGAGACUCGACAGACUUAAAGUCAACCCAAAAUAUCGUUUAAUUAUCUUUCUAAAAAAGGACAUAUCGUCCUCUCAUAUAUAGGACUCAUAUUGUCAUGGAGAUUUGGUUGGUCUCACCUCGAGGUCGGAGGGGGGUCGGUGACGGGGACGAUGGCGGGGAUGAUGGAGGGGUUCCUAGAUUUCUGCAAAAACAUAAACCUUAUAAGCUGUCAACUAAUCAAAUGCAUACGCCUUGCAUAGUGCUCUGCAAUUUUAGCAUUCAAAGUAGGAGUAUUUUUCCAAUUUGAGCAUUCAAUAAGCAAAACCAAAUCGUAAAAUAAAGUUAUAUUCAAAUUAGCAUGCAUUCAAUUAUAAGCAAAACUACAUCAUCUCUUCUGUCCGUACAUCGUCGAAUAUUAUCACUAAUACACCUCGAAUACUAUCAUACAUAUAGCAUCGCUAAUACAGAUAGAACCGUAGAGCCGGACGGGUAUCGGCGCGGACGGUAGACACCCAAAGAGAAGGAACCAUCACAGGAUCAUAGCUCCAGUGAGAUCCCUGAAGAACAUGUCAGGUAUUGUCGGACAUGCCCUCCAACGUAACCAUGUAGCGACGGGCGUGCUCGUCCUCCUCGCUGACACAGUGACGUACCACCUCCGCGAUGUCCGUAAGCCUCGGCACCGUCACUGGCCCAUGCGACCGCCACCAAACAAGGGUCGGGUUAACGACGGGUUGGCUCCUCACCAACCUACGCCCCCCGGAAGGUAGCACCUCCCAAUACCAGCCCGGCGGAGCCCAGUCCCGGACAUGGCCCCUCUGAUCAAGCUGGCCUCCUCCGCCGAGUCGAUGACGAGGAUGCGGGAUAAGCAUCGUCGACGCCGAUGCGGGAAUAAUUGCUUAAACUAAAAAAUAAACUAGUUCUAUUAAUUUUCUUGCUAAAAAUAAACUACUUAUAUAUAUAGUAAAAUAAAGUAGUUUUCUUAAAUCAACUAGUUCAACUACUACUAAGCACUUAAUUACUAUAAAUAAAAUAAAAUAGUACUUACUAAAAAUAAACUACUUCUAUAUAUAGUAAAAUAAAGUAGUUUUAUUAAAUCAACUAGUUCAACUACUAAGCACUUACUAAAUAAAAUAAAGUAGUACUUACUAAAAAUAAACUAAUUCUAUAUAUAGUAAAAUAAAGUAGUUUUAUUAAAUCAACUAGUUCGACUACUAAUUAAGCACUUACUAUAAAUAAAGUAGUUUUAUUAAAUCAACUAGUUCAACUACUAAUUAAGCACUUACUAUAAAUAAACUAGUUUAUUGGGGAGGGGGUAUAUCGAGAACGAUAUACCCGAUAAAAAAUAAGAAGAGGAAGAAGAAGAAGAAAAAGAGGAGAAGAAGAAUGUUCAUAGCAAAUAAUACACAUUAUAUGAAAAAGAAACACUGAACAGAGCCGUGGCGGCGGCUCACAUCGGGGGCGGCCGGCGAGGGGGUAUAUCAACUACUAAUUAAGCACUUACUACUAAUUAAGCACUUACUUCUUUUUUCUUCUUCUUUUUUCCUCUUUUUAUUUAUUUCUCCUCUUUUUUUCCACUUCUUCCUCUCUUCUUCCUCUCUUCUUCUUCUUCUUCUCCUUCUUCUUCUCCUUCUUCCUCUCCUUUUUCUUCUUCUUCUUCAUCUUUUCUUCCUUUUCCUUAUUUUACUUUUUCCUCUACACUAACCUAAAAUGCACCAACCUAAAAUCGAUAUCUACUAACGACCUAAAUAAAAAAUUAAUACUUAUAUGAAAAAACAUAUAUAAAUAAAAAAAUGCUAUGAACAUUAUAUUCAUACAUACAUAGCCACAUCCAUUCAUCAUAUAGCUACCACAUACAUAUAUACAUUAUAUAAAAAAUGAAAUGAACAAAAAAAUAAUACACAUUAUAUGAAAAAAAAUUGAACAGAGUCGUAGCGGCGGCUCCUCACAUCGGGGGCAGCCGGCGAGGGCGACGGCAUGGGCGGCGGAGGGCGACGGCGAUGGCGGCGGGGGGCGGAGGGCAACGGCGACGGUGACGGGCGACGGCUCGGGGGCGGCAGAGGGCGACGGCGUNNNNNNNNNNNNNNNNNNNNNNNNNNNNNNNNNNNNNNNNNNNNNNNNNNNNNNNNNNNNNNNNNNNNNNNNNNNNNNNNNNNNNNNNNNNNNNNNNNNNNNNNNNNNNNNNNNNNNNNNNNNNNNNNNNNNNNNNNNNNNNNNNNNNNNNNNNNNNNNNNNNNNNNNNNNNNNNNNNNNNNNNNNNNNNNNNNNNNNNNNNNNNNNNNNNNNNNNNNNNNNNNNNNNNNNNNNNNNNNNNNNNNNNNNNNNNNNNNNNNNNNNNNNNNNNNNNNNNNNNNNNNNNNNNNNNNNNNNNNNNNNNNNNNNNNNNNNNNNNNNNGCGACGGCAACGGCGACGACGGCGGGGCAGCCUGGCGGCGUCGAUGAGCUCGUCGUCGUCGGGCGGGGGGCAACUGGCGAUGAAUUUGUGAAAAAUUCCUAAGUGCUACUUAUAUAGCCAGAGUAUUGGUCCCGGUUCGUAGCACGAACCGGGACCAACGCCACCUUUAGUCUCGAUUGGUGCCACCAACCGGGACCAAAAAUCUCUUUUAAGCAGCCCAAAGGGCGGGAAGCAGAGGCCUUUGGUCCCGUUUGAUGGCACCAACCGGUACUAAAGGGGGGAAUUGGUUCCGGUUGGUGCCCCGAACCGGGACCAAAGGUGUGCAUUGGUCCCGGUUCGUGGCACCAACCGGGACCAAUGUCCUGCGCCUGUCAAAGCCGCGAUGCGGUGGGAUGUUUAGUCCCACCUCACUAGCCGAGGAGCGACAGGACCGGUUUAUAAGUCCUGCCCCGCCACCUCCAUUGAAUUCUUCUGAACUGCAGGCUUCUGGGCCUAAUCUCGCAUUGUUAUGCAUGUGGGCCUGCUGGGCCUUCUGCGGGCCUGAAUCCUGGCCCAUGGAUUGGUUUCUAGUCGUAUUCAAGCCGUGGUGACCUAGUAGGUGGCAUUUUUUAUUUUUUCUCAGUUUUUUUCUUUUCUUUUUUGCUUUAUUUAUUUUCUUUUGUUUCUACUUACAACAAAAUACUUACUGUUGCUAUUUUAUUUAUUUCAGGAAAAUUUGUUUUGCUUAUAAUGUUUUGAACAGAAAAUAGUUCGGUAAUUUUAGGUCCAUAAAUUUUAUUUAUGUUAUUAAAGUUUAUUUUUAUUUUAUUUUGUUUCUACUUAUAUAUUUUACUAAAGUUUAUUUAUUUUAUUUGUUUCUACAUACAUCAUCAAUUUUCAAUCCUUGCUGACUUCAUUUGUUAUUUUUCAUGCAUUUACUGAUUAUUUUGAGCUAUAAGACCCUGAAAUUGAAAAGCAUUUCAAAUGAACUCUGAAAAGGUUGAAAGUUGGCAUGGUAACAUCAUUUCAUCCACAUAGCAUGUGCAAGAAAGUUGAGAGGGUUACGGCAAAAACUGGAUGCACUUCGUGUACAAAACGGACAAUCUCUUUCGAAGUAUCAGGAUUUCAUACGGAAACUCGUCUGUUACAAAGGGAUUUCAUUUUUUUUAAACUUAUUUGAACUCCUAACUUUUUGUGUGUUCAAAAUGCACCAUUCAAAGCCACAUCGUCAAUUUUCAACCCCUUUCUAACUUCAUUUGUUAUUUUUCAUGCAUUUACUGAUUAUUUUGAGCUAUAAGACCCUAAAAUUGAAAAGUUUCAAAUGAACUCUGAAAAGGUUGAAAGUUGGCACUGUAUCAUCAUUUCAUCUACAUAGCAUGUGCAAGAAAGUUGAGAGGGUUCCGACAAAAACUGGAUGCACUUCGUGUACAAAACGGACAAUCUCUUUCGAAGUAUCAGGAUUUCAUACGGAAAAUCGUCUGUUACAAAGGGAUUUCAUUUUUUUAAACUUAUUUGAACUCCUGACUUUUUCUGUGUUCAAAAUGCAACAUUCAAAGCCACAUCAUCAAUUUUCAUCCCUUUCUGACUUCAUUUGUUAUUUUUCAUGCAUUAUUGAUUAUUUUGAGCUAUAAGACCCUGAAAUUGAAAAUUUUCAAAUGAACUCUGAAAAAAAGUUGGCAUGGUAUCAUUAUUUCACCCACAUAGCAGGGUAUCAUCAUUUCAAAGAAACUCUAAAAAAUGGACAAUCUCUUUCGAAGUAUCAGGAUUUCAUACGGAAACUCGUCUGUUACAACAGGCAUUUCAAAUGAACUACGAAAAGGUUGAAAGUUGGCAUGGUAUCAUCAUAAUAGUUGUGAAGAGAAAGUCUUCACUUUUACUUCGCUUGUGUCCUUUGAUUAUUGUGUCGUAACCAUGGAUAAUCUUCAUCGUUUAUCAGGAUGCUUGGGUCAGCCUUGACUUUGAAGGGAGGAAUUUCAUGAAGCUUUUCAUAAUCUUCAGACAUGUCUGUCUUGCCCUCCACUCCCAGGAUGUCCCUUUUUCCUGAAAGAACUAUGUGGCGCUUUGGCUCAUCAUAUAAUGUAUUCGCUUCCUUAUCUUUUCUUUUUCUCGGUUUGGUAGACAUGUCCUUCACAUAGAUAACAUGUGCCACAUCAUUGGCUAGGACGAACGGUUCGUCAGUGUACCCAAGAUUGUUCAGAUCCACUGUUGUUAUUCCGUACUGUGGGUCUACCUGUACCCCGCCUCUUGACAGAUUGACCCAUUUGCACUUAAACAAAGGGACCUUAAAAUCAUGUCCGUAGUGAAGUUCCCAUAUGUCCACUAUGUAACCAUAAUAUGUGUCACUUCCCUUCUUGGUUGCUGUGUUUUGGUUGGUGCUCUUUUGAUCUUGUGCGAUCGUGUAAAAUGUAUUCCCAUUUAUCUCGUAUCCUUUAUAAGUCAAUACAGUCGAAGAUGGUCCCCUGAACAACGAGUACAGCUCAUCAUAAACAAUGUUUUCACCUCUGAGACGUGUUUCCAACCAACUGCUAAAAGUCCUGAUGUGUUCACAUGUAAUCCAGUCAUCGCACUGCUCCGGGUGUUUGGAGCGCAGACUAUUCUUGUGUUCAUUGACAUACGGGGUCACGAAGGUAGAGUUAUGUAGAACUGUGUAGUGUGCUUGAGACCAAGAAUGCCCAUCCCUACAUAUUAUUGAGUCCCCUCCAAGCGUGUAUUUUCCAGUCAGUCUCCCCUCAUACCGCGAUUUAGGGAGACCUAUCUUCUUAAGGCCAGGAAUGAAGUCAACACAAAACCCAAUGACAUCCUCUGUUUGAUGUCCCAUGGAGAUGCUUCCUUCUGGGCCCAUGGAGAUGCUUCCUUCUGGCCUAGCACGGUUACGGACAUAUUUCUUUAGGACUCCCAUGAACCUCUCAAAGGGGUACAUAUUGUGUAGAAAUACAGGGCCCAGAAUGACAAUCUCGUCAACUAUAUGAACUAGGACGUGCGUCAUUAUAUUGAAGAAGGAUGGUGGGAACACCAGCUCGAAACUGACAAGACAUUUCGCCACAUCACUCCUUAGCCUUGGUAUGAUUUCUGGAUCGAUCACCUUCUGAGAGAUUGCAUUGAGGAAUGCACAUAGCUUCACAAUGGCUAAUCUGACGUUUUUCGGUAGAAGCCCCCCUCAAUGCAACCGGAAGCAGUUGCCUCAUAAUCACGUGGCAGUCAUGAGACUUUAGGUUCUGGAACUUUUUCUCUGGCAUAUUUAUUAUUCCCUUUAUAUUCGACGAGAAGUCAGUCGGGACCUUCAUACUAAGCAGGCAUUCAAAGAAGAUUUCCUUCUCUUCUUUGGUAAGAGCGUAGCUGGCAGGACCUUCAUACUGCUUUGGAGGCAUGCCGUCUUUUUCGUGCAAACUUUGCAGGUCCUCCCGUGCCUCAGUUGUAUCUUUUAUCUUCCCAUACACGCCCAAGAAGCCUAGCGGGUUCACACAAAGGUUCUUCGUCACGUGCAUCACGUCGAUCGAAGAGCGGACCUCUAGGUCUUUCCAGUAGGGUAGGUCCCAAAAUAUAGAUUUCUUCUUCCACAUGGGUGCACGUCCCUCAGCGUCAUUCGGAAAGAUUACGUGUAAAUCAUUGACCAUAGCAAGUACGUGAUCACCGGUACGCAUGGCGGGCUUCUUACGGUGAUCUGCCUCGCCUUUGAAAUGCUUGCCUUUCUUUCGACAUUGAUGUUUGGUCGGAAGAAAUCGACGACGGCCCAGGUACACAUUCUUCCUGCAUUUGUCCAGGUAUAUACUUUCGGUGUCAGCUAAACAAUGCGUGCAUGCGUGGUAUCGACGACGGCAUAGCAAGACGAUUAAAGCACUUUCGGACCUGCAUCUAGAGGAAUGCUCAAAUCGGUCAUUUUUGUGCAGCCAGGCCCGUGUGGUGCAACCCUAGGCAUGUGGGCGUGGCUGGUUGCACGUGUGGGUGCGGUCCCGAGACGUCGCCUUGUUUCCAAACGCGUCGUCAUAAUUACCCUCACCUCCCUUCCUCACCGCUCUCUCCCCUCUUCCCCACUCGCACCGAUGACUGCGACAACUUGAGCUCUAGUGCGAAGCAAUCCCAGACGGUGACGGCAACCACCAGAGCGCAUCGGCCAUGGCGGUAAGGCCUCGUCCUCUCUGUACAUUCAGUCAUUUUGACUCGGGCUAGAUUGGAUUAGAGCACUCGAUUGAAGAGUUAGGGAGGGGAUUGAACACGUCGAGGGUGCAGGAUUGCCAUCAAUCGAUUCUGCAUCGACGGUUACUAGGGUUCGUAGGUUAUCUUUCGACUACAUCGGGAGUGGGGAUAAGGGUACAAACUUUUUUGUCUAGCCGCGGCGACCCUGGAGUCGCAUCGAGCGGCGGGGCCGGGGGGCGUAGCCAUCUUGUUUUCUUCCUCCCUGUCUUCGUCAAGAAGGAUUGGUCUUGCACGGUCGCCUAUAGCCGGUGCCCUGGACAGCAUCUACACCUCGUCGUUGUCGGCCUCCAGCGACCCGAACGUGCUACUCCAGUACGCUGCCGCACGCUGGUCUUGAGGUGCCUUAUACUGACUGUACUUGGCCCAUCUUGCCCGUUGUCCAGCGUCGCCGGAGUCUGCCUGAUUCAUGGCCCAGCGCAGGAUGUCCACUGACAUCUUUCCCUUGGCUGGGUCUGGAACCAGUGUCUUCAGCUCCUCCGGCGUAGCGUUCUUCAUCACAGCAUCGGCCUCCUUGUGCAUGGCAUCGAUGAUGUUGAAGUUUGAGCACACUUCCAUGGUGUGCUCGAACUUCUUGUUGUCACCGAGAGAGCACCCAAGGAAGAAGGCCCUCCAUCCAAUGCCCAAGGGAAAGGGUUGGGGUUGGAGUUCAUGUCGAGGGGGAGGUGGUGAAACAGAGGGGGUUUGAGUGCGGUGCUAGGUUAACAUAUAGGAGCGUUUAGGCCGAUAUGAAUGAAUGCUGACCAUUGAACUACGUGUUGUUUAUAAUGUAGAUGGACAAGGGCAAGGAGGUGGUGCCACCAUUCGAGAAGGGCAAGGAGGUUGUGCCUCCAUUGGUCGAAGUGCCAGUGUAGGAUCGCCCAAGCCCGAAGUGGAGGAACUAUGGCCAGUACCAUCAAGAGUCAGGACCCAACCACUUCUCUAAGGUUAUCCUUGCUCCAAAGCUGGAGAGUCUAUCAUUGCCUCUCGACUUCAUGAAGCACUUUCCCGCCAUCCCUACAGAGUUCAAGCUCAAGACGAACACCGGCUGCGCAUGGAGGGUGACGGUGAGGUGAUCAACGGCAAGGUCACCCUUGAUAAUCAGGGUUGGGCCACCUUCACCGCCGUUCAUCAGAUCAUGAUCGGGUACACGCUGACGUUCAAGCUGCUGUCCCCCGACACCAUGAAGGUGAUCGUCUUCAACGACGAGGAAGUGGAGGUGGUCACCAAGUGCAAGGAGCACGACAAUGCAUUUGCCGCGACUGCCUGAGCUCCUCUUGCCCAUUCCUUGUUGGUUCUUGCUUUAAGACUUGGGUUUCGUUAGAACUAAUUGUUCUAUAUUGGUUUAAAACUUGUUCUGUAUGGUUAAGACUUAUGUUUGUGCCUAAAAUCGUUGUGUUGCUACUAGUUUAGUUGUUAGUAGUUCAUGUGCGCCUUUGGUAACCUCACCACUUCGAGGAGGAGGUUACCACACAACUGUCUUGGAUGUAACCAAACACCCGGACUUGUGUUUCACCUCAAACAAGUCUGCAACCAAACAGCAGACCUUCCGUUUUAGCACAUGCAGGCUAGAGGGGAUGCAGGCAACCAAUCAACAUGCAGAUGUUAGCUUUUGACCUGCAUAUGCUCAGCCAGACACAACUGGGACAAGUAUGCAAUGUGGCAAAAAACGAUGCAGGUAACAAAACGCGUCCUUAGCUUUUGAGCUUUGUAAUCACAUAAGAAAAGGAAUGAGAAAAUAGAAAACGUUUCGACAGUUUCAGUAGCACAAAUCUCUCGCUCGCCCAUGUCCAUCUCUCUCUCUCUUGAGCUGCUCACUCUCUUAUCUAGCUAGUUUGACAACGACAAUUCGCAUCGGACCGGCGCGCCCUCUCCAUCAUUCUCAUCGGCAUGCCGCCUGAGACAGUGGAGGCACCAGGACUCGGCCACGCCACCGGCCGCUCCAGGCAGCCUUUGAGUACUGUAGCAGCAUAGCUACAAUGUUCUCUACACUACAAUAUUCGAAGGGAAUCAGCCUCAUGCCUCGGGCAGCCGCCCGGGCUGCUUGGGGCCUAUCUCCACCGCUGGAUGGAGAUGAUGCGAGUACUAGCGGCCAAGGACACCGUCAAGGUCGCUAUGGAGACGAUCAAGACUCUCCGGAUGGGGAGUGAGCACGUGUGUGAGGCCAAGGCACAGGUAUGCGGCCAGGAGUUUGAAGAUCUCCAAUUCAAGGACGGCGAGUCCGUUGAGGAUUCCGCGCUGUGUCUCACCUGCAUGGUAGCUGACCUGGAGUUGCUGGCGAUCCAGUGACGGAACAAAAAGCCAUCUAGAAGUUCCUCCGGGUGGUGUCGCACAAGUACCGGAAGAUGGCCAUGGCCAUCGAGUCACUCAUCGAUCUAAAAACGAUGACGAUCGAAGAACUGGCCGGGCGCUUCUCGGCAUGCAAGGACCACUACGACCUUGACGACGCCUCUCAGUCCGCCGGUCGCCUCCUUCUCACUGCAGAGGAAUGGGCAGCGCGCCAGUACCAAUGCAGGGGUGGCUCUUCCUCGGGCGAGAGGCGCAAACCAGCGACCGGAAACGGCGGCACAGCUGGAUCGUGUCUCUUCGAUGCUGAGAAAAAGGGCAAAUGUCAUUACAACGGGAGAAGUAGGCAUUGGAAGAAGGAUUGCCGAUCUAGGAUCAAAGAUGAAGAGCAGCAGGGCAAGAAGGAGCAAGCCAACCUCGUCUGCGGCGACAAGCAUGAUCAAGGACCGCGUAUGGCCAUGGUCACCGACGUGGUUACCACUGAGAUCACCACUACCCAAGCGGUCUUCCUCAACGAAGAGAAAGUUAUCCCCUUUCCCUCACCCGACGGCGUCUUGUUCUUUGAUACCGGCACGAGGAGCCAUAUGACCGGUGAAAGGGGCAUGUUUGCAACCCUAGAUGAGACUGUGCACGGCAUGGUUAUGUUUGGGGACGGGUCCACGUCGGCAAUCCGCGGGUGUGGCUCCAUAGUCUUUCGGAGCAGAAACAGUGAUCAGCGAGCUCUCACCCAUGUCUUUUUAAUUCCCAGUCUCAGGAGCAACAUCAUCUCUGUCGGGCUGUUGGAUGAGGCUGGGUGCGUCAUCAGAAUUGAAGAUGGGAUCAUGCAAAUUCAAGACCCAGGGCGGCACAUCCUAGCACGCAUCAAACACUCUGGCAUGUGCAUUAGGCAUAUGGUUAGGUUGUACUGAUGUGUUAACUGAAGUUGUUUACUAGGCUUAGGCUAAACUGAUUUUUUGUUCUGUUAAGACAAAAUAUGAGUUAGUGUACUGGAUAGUUUAAAAUUUCUUUGAUUUGUAGUUUUUGUGUUAACUGGAAUUGUUGACUAGGCUUAGGGUAAAUUGUUCAUUCUUUUGUGUUAUAUUAAGACAAAAUGUUAACUAGUGUACUGAAUAGUUGAAAUAUUCUUUGUUUUGUAGUUUUUAUGAUGACAUUUGGAAGGUUAGGAUCCAUUUUGAUGCUGGAGAAAAUUUGGAGAGGAAGCUCUGCAGUUCAGAUGCAACAUAUUUGAAUAUAGUUGCACUGAUGGAAACCCAAGGAUUUAGUGUAUAUGAUUUAUUGUAUCACACUCAGACUCCAGGCUUAGGGGAGCAAGGGUUGCAAUUGGUAGAGAAUAAUGCUCAAUUGCAAAUGAUAAAGAGGCAGAAUAAGGAGAGUAUGAUGCUUAAUUUGUAGUUAGGGCAUGUCCACCCUCUGUUAGUGAAUUUCAGAGGCAAGAAUUGUUUCCAAUUGUGUAUCAAGGCCUAUUGUAUAUGAUCUGAGUGAGACUCCUAUCCUAGUUAUUGAUCAGCAAGGAGUUGUCUUUGAAAGUCAGUGUAGCAGCUCCAGUGCAGCUCAUGGUCCUGCUGUUUGCACACAAGAAAGCAGGAAUGUUAAAGGCAAGUUGAAAGCUGUUUUUGAAGUAGUAGUAGAAGAUGGAUAUGAGGGAUAUGAGGGCAGUGGUGCUUCUGCCUCUGAUUCUACCAUUUAGGGUUUAGGGUGCCUCGGCGUUGAUAGAACCAAUGAUGCCUACAAGUUAGGGUUUAGGGUACCUCUGCGUCGAUGGAAAAAAUGAUGCCUACACCAAAACUAAGCUUAUAGGAUAGGGUGCCUCUUUCUUUGUUCAACUUUUACUUGAACUAUAAAAAAACCACAACAAAACCAAAGCAUCUACUAUAUCUGAUGUAAAGCAUGAUAGCUCACAAAUCAAAGAUCAACCAUUGCUCAACAUAUCUGAUCCAAAACAUAAUAGCUCACGAAUUCUAGUCUACAAAUCAUAGCACAAAAUACUUAGUGGAGUUCAACAUAUUAUAACAUACACAACCAUGGUUCACAAUCAUAGUGGAGUUCAAAUUAUAGCACAAAAAAAAUACUUAGUGGAGUUUGUGGUGGCCGAGGCAAGCAUGGAGGGCGUUCGUGGGCGGCCACUCCCGGACUUUGCGUCGCGCGAGUCAAUCGGGUCCAAGGCUACCAAGAGCACUUCCAGCAGCUCGUUGACCGGGUGGAGGAGCACAGGGCCGCCAAGUACGUUGAGACGGCCAUCUCGGGCUCGGAAGCCCUGUGUUGGCAAUGACAUCGUUCAUGUCCUUCAGCUUCGACACCGACUUCGGCUUUGGGCGCGCCGCGCUAGUGAUGUCCACGUCCAACGACGGUGCGAGACUCUGCGACGGCUUCGUGCAGAUCAUCGCGCGCCUAGGAGGCGACGACUGGCUCCUCACAAUGCACAUGUGGCCCAGGCUGGCCGCCACCCUCGACUCCGACGAGCGGCGCAUCUUCAAGCCUCUCAUCGCUGACUAUAUUAGCCUCAAUCAGUAUAGCCGGCUCUGAAUCUGAUCGCCCAUGUAUGCAUGUCGUUGUUGUCUCUAGCUUCCGAGCUUGAUUUAUUAUGUAUCUGGUCAUGAGGACUGGGGAGAGGAGUGGGUCGGCGAAGGGAUUGAUAGGGUUGCUACCACCAGAGAGGGAGGACUGGGGAGAGAAGUCCAUCGGGUGAGCGGAAGCGGAGGGGUGCGCCGGCUAGGGUUUUGGUUGGGUUCUUGUUUAGGUGCUACGGCGGCCAGGUGGGUGGAAGGAAGAUGUGGAGAGGAGGGGUGUGCAUGCGGUGCUUGAAGGGAGCAGCGGUAGGAGGUGGUGUAGUGGCGCGGGUUGGGUGACAUCAUCAGAAUUACGGCGGCACAGACGGGUGGGCAGCGGGGUGGAGCAACGGCGUGAGGUGGGAGAGAGAUGCGGGAUAUCGGUGGCGCAGUUUCGAGAGGGAAGCAGCGGUGGCGGUGGCUUGGUGAAAGCAGCGGCGGCGCGGUUUCGGGAGGGAAGCAGCGGUGGCGGCGGAGCGGUUUCGGGAGGGAANNNNNNNNNNNNNNNNNNNNNNNNNNNNNNNNNNNNNNNNNNNNNNNNNNNNNNNNNNNNNNNNNNNNNNNNNNNNNNNNNNNNNNNNNNNNNNNNNNNNNNNNNNNNNNNNNNNNNNNNNNNNNNNNNNNNNNNNNNNNNNNNNNNNNNNNNNNNNNNNNNNNNNNNNNNNNNNNNNNNNNNNNNNNNNNNNNNNNNNNNNNNNNNNNNNNNNNNNNNNNNNNNNNNNNNNNNNNNNNNNNNNNNNNNNNNNNNNNNNNNNNNNNNNNNNNNNNNNNNNNNNNNNNNNNNNNNNNNNNNNNNNNNNNNNNNNNNNNNNNNNNNNNNNNNNNNNNNNNNNNNNNNNNNNNNNNNNNNNNNNNNNNNNNNNNNNNNNNNNNNNNNNNNNNNNNNNNNNNNNNNNNNNNNNNNNNNNNNNNNNNNNNNNNNNNNNNNNNNNNNNNNNNNNNNNNNNNNNNNNGUGGCGACAGCACGGUUUCGGGACUGAAGCAGCAAUGGCGGCGGCUUGGUGAAAGCGGCGGCGGCACGGUUUCCAAAGGGAAUCAGCGAUGGCGGCGGCUUGGUGAAAACGGCGGCGGCACGGUUUCGAGAGGGAAGCAGCGGUGGCGGCGGCUUGGUGAAAGCGGCGGCGGCGCUAGGGUUAGAUCAAAGUUAGACUGAUACCAUCUAGAUAGAUGAUAGGACGCAAUUCAUGUAUACUCACGGGCAUCCAGUGCCAAUAUAUAGAUGUAUAUUUCACGCAAAAGAAAUAUAGAUGUAUAUAAAGACGUCACGUCCAAGACUAAAACACUGACAUGCUAGAAAUUAGAUGGACAGGUAUUAGAGUACAAGUCUAUAUACAUGUCUGGUGCUCAACAUUAGUGAUGAUAAAGUCAGUUGUGCUCCACUAAGAUUGUAGAGCUCAUCGGAAAUGAACCUUCACCUCAAAAUCUCUGAAGCAUGUACCCUGUUAUUUGAAGAAAAACAGUACGUACCCUGUACUUGUGAUCCCGGGUUUAUCUCGACCCUGAACCUGUCCGGCGCGGGAAAAAACUAUCCAAUACAAAACUCAUGAACUGAUUAUUUCUCAUUUUUUAGUACUCCCUCUUACUACUUUAUAUAAUGAUAUAAACGAUCUUAUAUUUCUUUACGAAAGAAGUACUACACUGUACUGUAUGUACACUGAACAACACCUCGAUGGGUUUCUCCAUGGACAAAGACCUGCGACUUGCCUCGUCCCUGGUGCAGUCGUCCCCGUGGAUGUGACGACGGUAAUCUGCAGCGCCGACGACAAUACAUGAACGCAUGUCGUUGCCCGCUGAAUGAGCGUGAGGGCUUGGCGUCGACAGAGAGGACACCAAACUGGUCCGAGGCUGUGGUGAGCACCGACGGCGGCGACUCCGAGGGGCCGUUGCCGUCGUCGUCGUCGGACAGGUUGACGGUGGUGAUGCCAUGGAUGCUGCACGGCCCUUGUUGUCCUUUCCGCUGGAGGUGAGCCAAACGAUCUCGUACCACUCCCACCAUAGGCGCCCAAACGGUUUGCAAAUUAACCAACAGAAGAAGGAUCGGAUCAACGUUGAGUGCACAAUGCUGGAACAAACUCAAUGCUGACUGGCGCAUCGUGUUUUAGGGCAGGACUAUUUGGACUAAACAUCACGGGCGCUCCUUCUCAGCAAAUUCGCUCAUUUUCUCUUAGGGGUCAACCUUUUUCUUUUUUGAGAAAAUCUUACGGAUAAACUAAGCUUUUUUUUUUGGCGGCGAGGGAUUAACUUUUUUUUUUUUGAGAAACGGUGGAGGGAUCAACUAAGCUAGUGGGCCGCCCAGGGUGCGCUUAGCUGUUGGUGGGCCGGAACCGCUCGAUUCACCGUCUCUUAUUUAAAGAAUAGUCCCCUAAAAAAUAGUACUAAGAGUCAAAAACCAAAUUUAGUACCACAUGGCUCGUUUCUAAAUCUGUUCCGCAGCUUUAAAUAGGCUGCUGGAGGGGACCUCCUAUUGCGUGCCUUCAGCGCCGCGCAACCUAACUGGCGCUUGCAACAACGUCUGGGUGGGCCAGCCCACAACCUAACUGGCGCUUGCAAAAAUAUCAAUAUAUUUGGCAAACUCAAAAAGAGUUUAUGAGUUUAAAAAAAGUUCAUUGAUUACAAGAAGGUUCAUUAAAUAUGAAAAAAGUUCAUCAAAUUUGAAAAAAGUUCAUUAAUUGGAAACAAGUUCAUCGGACUUGAAAAAAGUUCAUCGAAUUUGAAAAAAGUUCAUCGAAUUAAAACAAGUUCACGAUUUUCGAAAACAGUUCAACAAAAAAUGAAAAAAAUUCAUCGAUUUGAAGAAAAAACUUCAGGAAUUUGAAGAAAAAGUCAUCAUAUAAAGAAGAAGGGAAACAGAACACGAAAAAUGGACAAAAGGGAAAUAGGAACAAACAAAAUAAGAUUUCUUUGAGGGAGCAAAACAAAUAAUUGAAAGGAUAGAAACUACCAAAUCUGUCUAACUGGUGUAGUGGUUAGCGCAUUAUUCCCGACAAUUUUUUUGCGCCUUAGAAAGCGAAGUUGGGCCGGCCCAGCGCGGACACCUGCAGGCGCCAGUUUGCAAAAUGCACACAAACUGGCGCCUGCGGCGCUAAAUAGGAAUCGCCCUGCUGGAGGGCUACGCAUCGCCGACAACGUGGUCAUGAGCCAGUUAGCGCUGGCUGAUCGACUCUGCCUUGUCAAACGCGUUCACGUAAAAUAACAUCAGAUUCAGAUUCUACACAUUUAAAUCAAUUUCCAUAUAUGCAAUGUCAAAAUUGGAGUUAUGGUUUAUAAGAUAUGAAUAUUUUUAAAAAGCAUUCGAACCUGUCAAAAAAAAAGAUGGAUGGCGGGUUGAUUAACUAAAAGAUCAGGGGGUUUUCCUAAAAAACGUGAAUCAUCUUUUCCACUUAAUUUAGGACCAUGGGUUCAUUAACUAAAAGACCAGGGUUUUUUCAAGAAAACCAACUGUUUUUUCACUUAAAAUAGGAUUACGGGUUGAAUUAUCAAAAAGAGAUAGACUUUCUGCAAAAAUGACGACGGCGUACGACCAGAAAUGAUAGCCGUUUUAUUACUAGGUAAAGAUUAUUAUUUUUCAUUCAUAUUGUGAUCUGAUUUUUGACAAAGACCUCCAUAAUAUUUAAAUUCAAUUUUUCUUCAUAAUCAUGAUUUGAAUUUUAGAAAAACUGCAUAUUAUUUGAAUUUUAGAAAAUGAGACCUCUUUCGUGUCUUUUCUCUCUCGCUUCUCCCCGCGGUGUUCCGGCGGAGCGACACAACAAGAAUGGACGAGCAUUCGGCGGUUGUUGUCCUGGUGCGCUGGUCCUAUGGGGUCUUAGCAUGAUGACUUUCCAACUGUCUACUACAACAAGAUUUAUCCGGCUCCGACGAGGGAGGAGCGAUGACGGCGGCGCGCCUUCGACUCGCUCCAGUGCUUGUAGUCAUCGAUAGGUGGUCUACGAACCUUGCUAAUAAGCUGAUAGAACAAAACCUUUGGUUUAUCUCUAACUCUCGUCCAAACAACUAAGGAAGCAAACUUAAUUACGUGCUUUAUUUUAGCAGAUAAUCAUUACAGAAUAAAUAACAAAAAUAAGUAAAGAUAAUUUCUUUGGUGGCCCCCGUCCGCUAUCUCUCAAGGAAAGUAAUAUCCACCGAAACCUUCUGACGUGCACGUCUAGCUACUGUGGCCUUGGACGUGAGAAGUACUCGUAGUAGACUAGGAUUCUGUGAUAAGUAUCAAGAAAAGAAAUCUCCUGUAUUUGUACAUCUACAAGUUGAACUUAUUCUAGACGUAUCAACCAAAGAAAGAUUGAUCAUGCUCGUGUUUGUGAGGGACUUUGAUUGUACUAUAUUAAUAAAAAGAUUGAUCAACACUUUAGUGCAUGAACCCUUCCUUCCAUGCACACAUAUGUACCUCUUCUCUCCUAAUGCAUGCAUGCUCAGCCUCUUAUUUUUCUCUUUCUUAUGCAAGUGCAUCUCUAUCAAUGCCAUAUAAUGGAUGCAUGCAACUUCAGCUAAAUUUGCAAUGUUUUCAUCGUACUUCUCAUCAACGCCAAUAUACUUUCGCACAUAUUCAUCAUCAGACUGUUUUGGUAUAACAGAAGCAUCACUGACGACUUGAACAAGUACCGGAUUAUUGAUGCCAAGUAUUGACUUGGUCAUAUCAGAUGAUCAAGAGGAUAUUCAUGAGUACCAUCUUUCUUACACUAUUUGGUUACCUCCCGGAAAUGAAUAUGCCAUAUGACAAGGCCAUGAACAUUAGCAAUGGUUUUAUCGGCAUCGUCAUCCUCUUCACGCUCAUUGGCGGCUACCUCUCAGACAUGCAUCAUGAUCAAUUGAUCAUCACCCCCAUGGACAGCGUGGUAAUAACUACCUUAAGAUGUUGUUCACAUUUCCAUAAAUGAAACGAACUAAAACAAUGCAUUGUAGUGAGACUUCGAUUUGUGUUUUUUUGUGUGUGUGUGUGNNNNNNNNNNNNNNNNNNNNNNNNNNNNNNNNNNNNNNNNNNNNNNNNNNNNNNNNNNNNNNNNNNNNNNNNNNNNNNNNNNNNNNNNNNNNNNNNNNNNNNNNNNNNNNNNNNNNNNNNNNNNNNNNNNNNNNNNNNNNNNNNNNNNNNNNNNNNNNNNNNNNNNNNNNNNNNNNNNNNNNNNNUAGCUCUCCCUACGAGUGAAUUGGUUUGUACUCUUCGGUAUCAUGUGAACCUCUCAACGAUCACUCUCCUCUUGUUAUUCAUGAUACCUUUCUUGCCAUUGCCUACCAAGGACAUUACUUUAUACACUCGUAGCAUUGGACAAUAAGGACAAAUAUGCGGCAUGUGUGUUGGUCAUAGAAAACUCCUACUAUGGAAUAGUCAUUUCCACGUGAAAUCCAUGAAAUGCAUAAAAAAAAGUUGGACAAAUCUUUACUCCUAGAAAAUGAUUUUUAUUACUACUUUGGAUAGAUAAAAUAAACAGAUGACCCUGAGAAACUAGUGAACCGAGUGAUAAAGCUGAGAGGCUUAAAAUCUAGUUGCGUCCUUACCCAAUGUUGCUUAUGUGACCUUUCUGAUUUUUUAUAAAAAUGUGAAACAACUCAUGUAUAUAGGUUGGUACAUAUAUUUUGUGCACUUGCAAAUCUCUCAUCUAAAGAUAUAAUCAUUUAUGUCCCUCACAAGAAAAAACAAGUGAUAUGUAAAUAAAAGAGGAUUUAACUCAUAUAUUUUUAUGUUUUUGGUCAUGGCACAAAUGGUUAUACUUUUAGAUAACAUGUCAUAGGUGCACAUGUGAUACAACUAUUUUGCAUCAAGAUUUGAGAAGGUGAACGGGUGAACUCUGGUCAUCAUUUCAGCCUCUUUUAGCAUAUUUUAUCAAGAACUUCUAUUUUGUUGUAGAGUUGCAUGUGACGUUACAGCGAAGUGCCGAAGAUCUAGCAUUUUUAUAUGUUUUCUAAAAAUAUGAGAGAAACAAGUUGAAAGUUUUACAACAUUCGUGCUGGAAGAGAAGCGUGUGUGCAUUCCCAUGAUAUAAUUUUCAUUUUAUGAAUGUAGACUACGCAACGAGAAAUGAACGGGUUUGUUUUUCAAAUAUUACAACAUCCAAAGACACAACAUUCUUUUUAAGACCAAAUAACACCAUUUUUAUUGUUGCAUCAAGCUGGUUCACACAGUAUGAGCGAAGGCAAUGGUGAAACAAAGCAAGUUCUACCAAGAGAAACACAAUGCACCAUACUCGCCAAGAUUAGUUGGUCCAUCUGCUAGAGGGAAUAUAAGAAGAUCAUGAGGGAUGACAUAUAGCUAUCACUCAGCUCGCGGCCAUGGACCUAAGUAAAUCGUGUCUCGUGUCAAACUGAUCUCACCUAAGUUUAUUAACGGGACCCUUAUAUGGUCUAUUCACCCUUUAUGCGCAUAUAUGAUCAACGCAAAUUCGGCAUCGGUAGCCCCAGAUUAUGCCCACCAUGGAUGGAUUAGCUAAUCUCAUCGAAGCAACUUCGACAACGUCCCCUCCUCCAUCGGCUCUAAUAGUAAAACCCAACAUAUGACGGCAACCUAAGAGGGAGAAACCACCCUGAAUAUCUUAGCGUGGGGCGCACGGUCGAUAAUUGUUUCCACUUCUUUAAGCUUAGAAAUGUUUCACAAUUAAUUACCCACUUUUCAAUGGUUAGAAAUGUUUCAGGAGCAAUUAUCUUCAUAUUCUGUAAGUUGGUGUGCUGAUGUGGAGCAGAUAAAGAUUGCACACGGCUCUUUCAAAUCUCAUGUAAGUUCUUAUAAGAUAUUUAAUUCCAGUCGGGAAGACACACUUGCUGCCAUGGGCAAUUUCAUCUUUGUUACAUGUUUCCAAUUUAUCAACAAUGAACACAAUAAAAAAAAUCCAAUCCUCAACACCAAUCACUUCACACUCUGGUACUGACAGAACGAACUGAGCAGCGAACAUUUUGCUUCAGAACACAUUCAUAGCUCAUCAUGUAGUUGUUCUAAUCAUUUGUUUGCGCGCCGCUUCGGCCCGAGUAGGUUGGUCAUCAUCCUGAGCACACAAGAAAACAUAACCAGAGAUCAGCAUAAAGCCAUAAACACAAUCACCGUUGUUUUCACUGCUGGGAAGUAGAACCGAACACUGACCUCUGGAUCCGGUUCCGCGGCUUUCUGCAACAGCAGCAGCACCCCCCCAAAAUCCCAAACAACAAAUGGUUUAGUCAGUCAGUCAGUCGCUUCCCGGUUUCUCUUGAGUAAAUUUCAUAAGAGCGCGCACACUUGCCUUUCUUUCGGCCUCACUACGAUCUCGUCACGCACCACCGCAGCGCCUGCUAUCGAGGUCGAGGCUGUGGUCCUCGGGGGCUGCUCCCCUAUUCUAGGGACAGUCUUCACCUGAAUGAAAGAAAAGACGAUGUGGUCAUUUGAUCAGACCUGCUCUGAAUGUGUUUAAUUAUGUACUGAAGAUGCACCGCGGAUCGUGAACUCACCAGGUUCCUGUACUGAAGAUUGUAGAAUAUCUGCAGGUACCGCUGUUUGGCCGCUCUCUCCUCCUUGUUCAGAGUCCUCCAGAAGCCAUACAUCGAUCCCAUGUUCAGCACUUUAGUCGCGUAUAUCUUCCAUGUGUAACUGCCAUCAUGUGUAGCACACGGUUACAUUUUCACACCAGGUGGCAUAGGAAGGUUGGUGUUGACCACUCAAGAGGCAAGGUAAGGAUCGGCGCCUACCAUUCGUAGAUGCGCUGAAGUCCAGCAGUGGACACCUUGUUCCAGUAGCUUGGGUCUUCCUUGCACUUCUGGAAGAAGUCUGCAAUCUUGGUCCCUGCCCCCCUGCCGUUCGUCGGGUUUAUGUGGAAACCUGAGACGCCAUCGACAAUGAUCUCCGCUGGCCCUCCCUGGUUUGUCGCAAAGGUUGGAAGCCCGCAGUUCAUCGCCUCGAUGACUGUUAGCCCAAAUGCUUCGUAGAGUGCAGGCUGAAACCAGAGAUAUGCAUUAUGGUUCAGGCUUUUAUGUAAUGGUUGGUUACUGUGAAGCAUAGAUUUCAGAGGAUGGAGCCCUAUAUUGUUCAUGCCCGAACAGUUAGUAUUGCAUACCUGAACAAAUGCACCCUUUGUAUCUGCAAUGUAACGGUACAGCUCGCCGUUACGGACACGGUCAGUCUGAGCCUUGAUCCACCGGAUCUGUCCUUUCAGCUGGUACUUGUCGAUCAAAUUAUGCAUCUUGUUGAUCUCGUCUAUCUCUUCUCGGUCCUUGGACUGCGCAGCAUUCAGGAGGCCUGCAACGACGACGAGGUUCACAAGGUCCCUGACCUUCUUGUUCUGGCCAUACCACUCCACUAGUCCAGUGAUGUUCUUCACCUUGUCCAGCCUUGCCAUCGAGAAAAUGAUUGGCUUAUUUUUGUCUGCCAGAUACCCUCUGAAUUUGGUAGCAUUGCAACAAUUAGCAACUUUGUCUGAUCAAGCAAAAGUAUGUGUGUUCCUAAGGGACUUGACUUACAUGUGUUCGUCUGUAUCCUCCUUGCUGUACAGUAACUCCUCAAUUUGUGGGUGUAAACCUGUCAGCCGCUUCUGCUUCUGUGUGUAGGGGAAGUAGACGGACUGAUCGGCGCCAGGGGCAGCAAUGUUGAACUUCGGAUCAAAGACAUUGAUGCCCGUGGCGAAGCGGCAAAGCCCGGGCAUUGUGAAUGCAUAGUGGUGUUCAUAUUGACCAGGCUUCUCCUUGCUGCACAAUAUGUCAAUGUUAGAAGUUUCUAGGUGCAAGUACCCAAGCGCUGCCUGUUAGAGCACUGAAGUUACAGUAAUAUUCAGUCUACUGACCUCCCAGCAAUUUCUUGGUAUGUGCUAGUGAUGAUAAAAUCGGUAGUGUUCAUGGCAAUCAUAUCGGCAGUGAAUUGGCAGGAGAAAUGGUAUUUUUGGUCCAGCUCUCUCCACUUGGCAUCUGAGUUCUCAUACUUCGUCUUCUCGAGAGCAUGUGCAAUUGUUCCCUGUCAAAAAGACCACUUAGGGAUGCCAUGUCAACUGUGGUUGGUGGUAAAAGAGAUCUUGAGGAAUCCUCUUUGAUCAAACAUUUUCCUACCUGUGUGACACCUAGUUUGCUCGACAUGAGGGACGCCACUAAGUUGCCGUCGGUGUAGUUGCCAAUGAUCAAGUCUGGUUUGCCCUCUAGAAUGUCAAGGAUCUUGGCAGAAGCAUCCUGAAAUCAUGUCAGGAUAAAGCUUUAUUAAAGAUCACUGACACAAGAGUGAAGAUAAUUAAUAAUUUGCAGCUGGCAAACCUGAGUAUAUCUCUCUAGGUACGGGUAAAUGUCAAACCGAGACACCCACUGGCGCAAAUCUUUCCCGUCUUCAGUCUUGAAUGGCACACGGAGUAUGUGUGAAUAUUUUGUAUUUUCAACCGGUUCGAGCUCCACAUUGCAUUUUGUGCCUUUGGAAUCUGGUAUCAGUCUUGUUAGCUGCGGCACAAUUGUAGCCAUUAGUUUAGCAGUUCUACAAAUUACACAGCAGGAAUGGCUAGGAUCAUGGCCUUACCACAAGAAUCUUUGGUGUUAUAUGCAAACCCUGCUGCUUGAUUCUUUGCACCAGCUCCUCUUCCAUGGACCUGACUUGGUCCAGGAUGUAGACAACCUGUCAUAGCAAAACCAUGCCUUCAGAAUGUGACACCCUGAUCAGAGUAUUAUGUCCUAUUAUCUGCUAAUAAUAUCCAUACCUGACCGCCGGUGUCUGGCAAUCCUAGAACCUUCUCUUGGCCAAAGUAACCAUGGAUGGAGAAGAUGACGAUGUUAAAUAUGGAUGGGACCCUGCUGAAGAACUUCUCCAUGUUGAUAGGAUCUGGUGCCUGGAGCACUUCAGAUAGGAAAUUCAGAGUCUCCUUGCACCUUUCUGCGUUCUCACCCCAUCCUUUCUCCAAUCCCCACUCCUGAAAUCUGCAAUACAAUUCAUGAAGAAACGUUAGGCAUAGUUGCAUAUUUCUGUACCAUCAAUUAUAUGUCUACUUAAUAUGGCAGCACAUCACCUCUGUUCAAAUUUCAAAUAUGGUGUGAAUUUAGGCAGCCCGCUGACAAAAACUUCUGCAAGGAGCAGCGCUGUCUGAAGCUUGUCGACCGUAUCGAUUGUGUCGUUGACCAUCAGUUUCUGCAUAUUCAUAAGGAUAUAUAAGUUUAAUCAGUCGAUUAGUUCUGAUCUUCUGAUAGUCUCUGUGAUAUGGAUGACUGAACUCUUUACCUCGCCGCGGUAAUUCAGGGUGAGCAAAUAGUCUAGCAAUGGCUUCAUGCUUUCAGGCUUCUCAUUCAGCUUUGAAGACAUGAAUUUGGAGAUAAACUGCAUCCCAUUCCCUAUGGACGAGGGCAGCGUCAGAUGAGGUGUUGAGAGGUCAAGAGCGCCAAAAUCAACUUCCAAUGAAUUGUCAUCCUUGGCCCUGAAAUUCACAUGAACAGACCAUAUUUUUCAGAUUCAUGAUUUUACUCAUCUAGCAUUAAAUUAGCUCUCUGAUCCAUGUCAAAGAUCACAUGAUAUUUGGUAAGAGUAAGACAUACCAUUUCUCAUCAUAUAAGGUCUCUUUGAACUUCAGGUACUCUGAUGGUGUAAUUCCUUCGACCGACAGAUCAUCGGAGUGAACUUUGACGUAUUCCCAGAUGCCAGGAUUCAUUCUAACAGCGAAUGCAACGAAUGGCGGUAGCACUACAGCUUCCUGCAAACAUAAAGGAUUCCAAAUCUGAUAAGCUCCUUCCAUCAAGCUUGAUUCUAGCUGCAGAAGGGAAUCAGGGAAUGUAAAGCAAAAUAACCUGUGUCGAACAAAUAAUGUAACCGAGAAAGCCUUCAACAAGCUUUUCCUUCUCAGCUUUGUCAUCUAGUGAUUUUUCCAGCUCCUCCACGAGCUGCUGGUUCUUCAAGAGCCUCCUGCCCUUCGAUACAUACCUGAAACAUUUUUUGUCCCAGAUUUCAGGAUGACAAAGCUGACCACAGCAGCAAUAUUUCUUGAUGCAAUGCAUGCCAUAAAGAACACAUUAACUUUUAGUACCUUUGGAAGCAUCUCUUCAUCUGGUACCGGCUUUGUUGCAGCGCAUCAGGCAUGGUUUCAGCGAUGCUGUCCAUUCUCUUGAAGCUGAGAUUGGAAGCCAUGGUGGGAGACUACCAGGCUUGAUAAACUGGGUGGAGAAGAUCAAAGAACUAUUUUUGGAGAAGCAAAACUACGAAGGAAUGUUGCUAAGAAGAUUGUGAUUGUCUGGGUGCUGAUGGACAACAAUUUAUAGGAGAGGGCACAAAACCUCCCUCCAUGGAGAAAGAUUUAUUUUCUCUGGACAUGGCUGGAAAUGCAAGGUAGAUGAUGCUAAGCUGAAAGGAGAAAGCACAACGCCUGGGAGAAGUUAUUCCAAAGAGACACACAAGGCAAGAAAGGCGGCAUUACAUCAUUACACUGUAAGAUUCCUCAUGACUUGUCACCAUUUCUUAUCCCUUUGCCAGCAGUUUUGACAUCCAAACGUGAGGCAUUAGGUAAACUUUUUGCCAUUGGACAUCCACACUAGGCCAAGAACUUUCAGAAGAUCACAAAAGGCAAUGAAAGCAUAUUCUCUCUUGGAGCUUGGGUUAAGCUUCCUUAAAAUUUCAGAAGAUGCACAGCAAAUUGCUUGCUACCUGAUAUGAAGCAAAAGACCAGGGAUCACCUUGUUGCAAUCUCAAUACCAGAAAGGAAACUCCAGAGCAUCAAAUGAAGAAAAAAAAAAGAUACAUUGAGCUGAGCUCUUUAUUUCAAAAACUCGAUAGCAUCAAAGAGAGAUAUACAAGCAAUUUUUUUUCAUUAAUCAGAACACAAACUUCAAGAGAUUGCAGCAUCCAUCUCCAUUCAAGGUAUUAAACAAAUUGAGAGUAUCCAAUUUCAGGAUAAUCAUGAAAUUUGCGCACAUAAGUUUGCCAAUUACAUAAAUAUACAUGUUUGAUAGAAAACAUUCUGACAUGAAAAGAAAAAAACAAAUCCAUGUACACAAGUGGCAAUACUUUACACUCAUCAAAAUCCAUCAAGCUCAAUGUUUACAAUUUACAAAUCGCCAGAACCAGGAAACGGAGAAGAAUCACACAUCGAGUAUUGGUGAAGGAGUUAAGCCAAGUUCAGUACUGAGGAAGGGGGGGAAAGACCAUCUGCUGUCUGAUUCACCAAAAAUACGGUACUCAUUCCUCAGGCCUCACAACAUCUCUUGGAGCAGUCGGGACGGGCGGACCGAAACAUGUCUACCAAACAGCUGCAAG